rnacentral:lncRNA from 1 species
AUCCUUAGAGUUAGAAGUAUGUAUUUAUAAGUGUAGUAAUAAGAAAGAGUAGGGUUAGCAUUUGGUUGAGGGCAAAUUGAUAAAUUUAUUUCUGCUAUUAAGUAGGAUUGAGGUGAUUUGUCCUUGAGUGUUACCUAAAGGAUAGUGAAUGUAGUGUAGGUUUAAUGGUGAAAGGUAGGGAAGGAGUUAUUAGUUAAGGUGAAUUAUGGUAGGCUUAAAGUAGGAAAAGAGUUCUUGAUGGUAUUCCAUUAUGUUAAAAAAGUAUAGGUUAUUAACGAAAGUAUUAUGUUGCUUAGGAUUAUUAAUGAGAGUUCUCCUUGUGGAUAUGAAAGAGAAAUCGGUUGAUGCUUGAAGGGCUAGGAGUAUAAUUUAGAUAUAUAGAAGUGGUAAUGAUAUGUGGAAGGAGGAUUUGCUAAUGGGUUAUGAUAAGAUAGACCAUAAGAUUAUGAUCAAUCAUUGUUAUUAUGAGGUUCUAGUGGACUAGUGUUUCUUGAUGUUUUAUCUUAUAGCUUCCAAGCAAGAAUAGUGUGUGAAGUUGUGUGGUUAAUUAAGUCAAGUAUUAGAUACUAAGUUUGAACGGUGGAUGAUCAUCAAGGUGGAAAUAAUGAUUGAUUGGGAUAGUGAGGCUAAAUAUAGGGAAGGUGAGUUAGUAGGCUUGGGAUGAUGUAUACAAGAAGUUAAGUUCAUUUAUUCUCAAUUAAGUAUGAUGGUGUAGAUAUGAUGUCAAGGUGUAGCCAAGGUGACAUGGGGAUGCAUUAUGUUCAAAGUUUUUAAAGUGUUGUGUGUGCGUAUAUAGUACCCAUGAGUUUCUAAGUGUGAAGAAGGAUAAUUAUAAAGUAUAUAGUGUUCUUGAUAGAUAAGUUAGGAGUUAUAGGUUGAGGAUAUUAAUCCUUUAGCAUAAUUCUGAUUCUCAUGGUUAAGGAAAAAAUAUAAGUUUAGAGGUAUGAUAUUAGUAAGCUAUAAAUAAAGGGUAGAUUAUGUGUUUCGAUAGACAGGUAUGUUUGUGGAGAAGAGUGUAAGUAUAUAAUGAUCAUUAUUCAAGCUACAGAAAGUUAAGGAUAGUAUAUAUGAAAGGAUUGUCCAAGAGUGAAGUUAGUAUGUUCUAAAUAUAGUUUAUACACAUGAGUUGAGUAUUUACGUGUAGAGCAUUAGAGUGAAGAAAUUAUGGCUCAGUCUUAAUGAUAUGGAAUAGACCCAUAAGCUUAGAAUGUUGGCUUAAUCUAAAAGGGGAGAUGAUAGGGUGAAGAACCAAAUCAAGGUCUGAGAAUUAGAUUGUGGUGCAUGUCAAUAAGAGUUAUGAUGAGAUAGUGAUCCAUCAUUUAUUUAGCAAAUUCCUUUCCUUGGAUUUCAAUCAUUAUGGAACCUUAUCUAUGUCUGCAUGAUAGAACCACACCUGUUACCAAUGCUUAUAUUCUUCAAGCAUAUUCAUGUUCAUUCUUGGCUCCGAUUAAAAGAAGUAAUAUCUUAACUCUCUAAUAGGAGUCAUCCCCUAAGAAUAUAUGAGUUCCAGUCUUAUAUUAAAUAUCUCUUUAUACGUAUGAACCCAUUAUUCAGAGUAUGCUUAGUUCCCAAAACUUAUGGUACACCCUUAAUGACCAGUGAAAUUUACAUUAUGGCAUGUAUGUCCUCAAUUUAGGUCUCUUUAAUGAAUCCAUACCUUUGAUACUUCAUUCCUCAUUCCUCAAAGAGUCAAUGUUAUUCAUAGUAUUCUUUCAUGCUUCAGGUCCUCAUGUUCUGACCGUUUGGUGACCUUUCCUUACGUUAGCAUAGCGGUGAUAAAAAUGAAUGAUCAAUGGUUCAGAUGAAAGAGAGUAGAUGACCCUCAUUAAGCAAGAUUAUUGUAUGAUUGUUGUAUCUAAUGUUAUAAGUGUGAAGGAAGAUUGAGGAAAAUUUCAUGACCCGAGCCGAGGCCCUGGCCGCGAAGAGCAUCUCCAACCACGUAGGCCCGAGCGCCCUUAUCUAUCUGGCAAUCAUGCAUAUAAUUCAUAGACUAUAAGACAUGCGGAAAAAUUAUAUGUAAUAAGAUGGAAACAUAGUCAAUCUCUUAACUCAGCUACAUAAUAUGAAAUUUGAUUCAUGACAUUCAAAAACAUACGACACCAGUUUACAAAAUCUCUAACAAUAUGAAAAUCAACGUCUGUCUAAAAACUGGAAAAAGGCCCCCAGUUGGACCAUAAAUCAAAUACCAACAAUGUUCUAGAACAGGCCUUCCAAAAUAAGGGAGGCUCACCAACGGCAACCUCUGACAGGAUUCAACCUACAGCUUAGUGGGACUCCGGGACUAUGCCUCAGAUCUUGAAAUUUUUAUGGGGCUAAUACAAUUGUACUGUUAUGUAGAGAAAUCCAAAAUAAUGCACUAUUAUACAAUAUAAGUAAGAGCAAUUCAUAAAACAUGUCAAUCUAAAACAAUUGAAGAUGCAUGUGCAUAAUCAAUAGACUUCAAAACAUUUAUGUAAAUCACAACUCAACUCUUUGUCUUACUUCUGAGUUAGGUGGUACACUCUACAACUCUACAAUCCCACGGGCUAUAUGGAAUCCGCCCUUAACUCGAUGGCCAAGCCCCCAACCCAAGUUUGUCGCAAGAGCUGGAGUCUCUAACUCAAAUACGCCAAAGGGCACUAGGCUAGCGUAUAAUCCCUCUUGGAGACAUAAUAAUCCCUUGUUGUAAAAAUACGGUUUUGGGAAAUGAGUUUUCUAAACUCAUGGAUUCUUCGGGUAACCACCUAACUUUCUUUAAGAUUAUUUUUAAAUCUUUAAGACAUAAAUUAUUUGAAAUCAAAAUCUGAAAAUCUUACUCUGUUAUGGCAUUCAUCUGUUUGGUAUCGUCAUACCAAGACUUUCAAGUCGUAUCUCUAAGCCAUAAAAUAUCAUGUUUCAUCUCUUUCAUUCAAAACGAUAUAUAGACCACCAAAACAUUCAAACAGUACAAGGGAACUCAUAAUUCCAAAAUAUAUGUCAAACUAUGAAAAAAUCCUUUAUUUUCAACAUUUCAAUAAAUGGUGGCCAAUUUCUCAAAAUAAUCAUUCAAUUCUUUCGAUUAUCACAUUCAGCCUUUAUAAAUAAGAAAUAUCCCUCUCUUCAAUUCACAAUCUACCUAAAAUUCAUGAUCGAUAGUAAAAUCCUUGGUUCAUGCUUUAAGAUAUGCAAUUGAGUGAUCCAUGACUUGUCAAACAAGAAAUAACACCAUGAGAGGGAAGCUCGUUAUUCAUGCUCUCAAUUUAUACUUUUCAAAAUUUCGAAUGCAUACAUUAAUAAAAAUCAAAUUUAAGGGGGGAGGCCUCAAGACCAAUGCAUAAUCAUCAAAAAGGGUUCACAAUGCAUAAUUGUUAAUGUAAAUUCAAAACCCUUCAUAAAUACAUGAAUUAUCAACACUCAAAACUUUAUUAAAAAGAUUUCACCAUGCCCAUGUAGUUUAAGAAAACUCCACUUACCGUAGAUUACUUAGUUUGAAGAAUCAAACUCGAAUCUUGGCUCAUUUCUUGGAAAUCUUGAACUUAAAAAUUAAUUUUUUAUCUUUGGGAGAAGAGUUAGGGUUAUUGUUCUUGAUGGAAUUGAGUAAUUAUGGGCAUAAAUUUCCCUAAAAACGCCUUAAUCCACUGUUUACACGACUUGAGGUUAUAAGGAAAAGUCCAAAUUGCCUCUACGGAAUUAAAAUUUCAGCAAAUCCCAUUUUUGGGCACCAUCGCAUUGCAUCGGGUACCAAUACGUUAGGCAUCGCUAUGCGUUCGGUACCAACAUGACAAGCAUUGCGACGCUUUGAUAUCGCGUUGAGUUAUUAUUUCUGAAAUCCAAACACGUCCCAACCCUAGUCUGAAAAGUCCAAAACUCCCCCAAGACAACCCCUUUACACUCCUGCGCAUGAUUCAACUUAAAAAUAUUUGUUUCGAGGUCGAAAAGAUCGAUUUAAAAAUCAUAAAUGUUUAGGAGCUUAAAAUAUGACUACGUCCUUUUGACACAUAGAAAAUUUUUAGGUUUUUAGCCCUUUAUGCAUACUACUAAGUGAGGUAUUAAGUCAAGAAUGCUACGAAGUGUUACAUUAUCCCCCUUGGGAUCAUUCGUCCCCGAAUGAUGGCUCGAGUCACAGACACGCACAACUGCAGGCACACUAAGGAAAAGAUAAAGAGAGUAGUUUAUGAUUUGUACCUUCUAUUUCGUCAUCCAUGGUCUCAAAGAGGUCUGGUUAUCUUGUUCGCAUGUCAUCUUCUGACUCCCAAGUAGCUUCUUCAGCUUUUUUAUUCCUCCACAUCACCUUAACAGAAACUAUUUCCUUACUCAUUAGCUUUCAAACUUGGUGAUCCAAAAUGGCAAUGGGUUCUUAUUCAUAUGACAAAGAGUCUUUCACAUUGAUCUCUUCUACAGGAAACACAAGAGAGUGAUCUCCAAUACACUUUUUCAGCAUGGACACAUGGAACACUGGAUGCACGGAAGUCAAAAUUGCAAGCAAGUUUAAUACAUAGGAAACCCCACCUAUCCUCCUCAUAAUCUUACAUGGUCCUAUAUAACAAGGACUAAGCUUUCCUUUCUUUCGGAACUGCAUGACUCCAUUCAUAGGGGAGACCUUUAGAAAUACUCAAUCAUUAACUUUGAAUUCUAAAUCUCUCCUUCUAACAUUGGCAUAAGACUUCUGUCGACUCUGAGCAGACUUAAGUCUCUCCUUAAUGAUCUUGAGCUUCUCCAUUGCUUUCUGAACAAGGUCAGGUCCAAACAACCGAGUUUUACCCACUUCAUACUAUUCAAUCAAUAACCUACAGCUUCUCCAAUAAAGCACCUUAAAAGGGGCCAUCUAAAUACUAGAAUGGUAAUUAUUGUUGUAGGUGAAUUCUAUCAGCGGUAAAUGAUCCACCCAACUACCUUUGAAGUCAAUCACACAGGCCCUUAACAUAUCCUCCAGGGUUUGAAUGGUGCAUUCAUCUUGCCCAUCAAUCUGAGGGUGGAAAGCAGUACUUAGGUUCACUUGGGUUCCUAAAAUUCUCUGGAAAAAACACCAAAAAUGCAAAGAAAAUUGCGUACCUCGAUCGGAUACAAUGGACACAGAUUCACCAUGCUACCAGACUAUCUCUCGAAUGUACAACUUAGCAUAGUCAUCCCCUGAAUAAUUUGUCCGCAUAGGAAAAAAAUGAGCGGACUUGGUCAUUCGAUCUAUAAUCACCCAAAUGGAAUCAUAUUAGUUUCGAGACUUUGAAAGCCUCAAAAUAAAGUCCAUAUUAACCAUCUCCCACUUUCACAUAGGUAAAGCUAUCUGUUGAGAAGUGCUACCUUUUCUCAAAUUCUCUACCUUGACUUGUUGGAAAUUCAAACACUUAGAAACAAAAUUAACAACUUUUCAUAUUAUUCCAUAAGUAAAUAGUCUUAACAUCAUGAUACAUUUUUGUGGAGCCUGGGUGAACAACAUACCUUGAAGUGUAAGAUUCGUCAAGAAUCCUCUCUCGCAAUCCAUCCACGUUCGAUACGCAAAGCCUAUCCUAAUACCUCAAAAUCCCAUCAUUUCUUAUUCAAAUACCAUCACAUUUUGUUGACCAACAUCUUUCUUAAUUUUCUCCAAGAUGGGAUCCUCAGACUAUUUUUCUUUAACUUUAGCACAUAAGAUGGAUUUAUCUAUCUCAUGAACUAUUACUCCUCCAUCUUUGGAAUCCAGAAGUAAAACUCCUGGAUUUGCAAGACGAUUAAUAUCUUUCACCAUCUCCAUCUUCCCUUUAUCAAUGUUACAAAGAAUGCCCAUUGAUAACCUGCUAAGAGUGUCCGCUACCACAUUGGCCUUGCCCGGAUGGUAGUGCAGAAUUGUUAAAAUCCUUUAAUAAUUUUAACCAAUGCCUCUGCCUGAGAUUCAGCUCUUUCUGCGGGAAAACCUACUGCAAACCUUUGUGAUCAGUAAAUAUUUCUACAUGCCCCCAUAAAGAUAAUAUCGCCAGAUAUUAAGUGCAAACACCACAGCUGCUAAGUCUAAGUCAUGAGUGGGAUAAUUUUUUUCACACCUUCAGCUGCCUAGAUGCAUAAGCCACCAAUUUACCAUGCUGCAUAAGCAUACACCCAAGUCCCACCCGGGAUGCAUCACAAUACACAACAAUACCCUCUGUACCAUCAGGAAGAGUCAAAACUGGUGUGGUAGUCAACUUAUCUUUCAGUUUCUUAAAACUAUUUUCACAUGAGUCCAACCACAAGAACUUUGAAUUUUUCUGAUUUAAUUUGGUAAGGGGAGAAACUAUAGAGGAAAAGCUCUCUACAAAUCCUCAGUAAUACCCUACCAAACCCAGGAAGCAUCGGAUAUCAGUAAAAGUCAUGGGACUGGGCCUUUUUCUGACUGUCUCUACCUUGUGGGGAUCAACUUUAAUCCCCUCACUAGAAAUAAUAUGCCCCAAGAAAGCAAUGGAACUUAGAAAAUUUUGCAUACAGAUCAUGGAAGGACAGAAUUCACAACUGGAAAAUUUUGCAUACAGAUCAUGGUCUUUGAGGGUCUAGAGGAUGAUUCGGGGGUGAUUGGCAUACUCCUCCUCACUUUUUGAGUAAACCAAAAUAUCAUCGAUAAAGACUAUGAUAAACAGAUCUAGAAACUUGAGAAACACCCUAUUCGUUAGGUCCAUAAAAGUUGAGGGGGCAUUAGUUAGCCUGAAGGACAUAACUAAGAAUUCAUAAGGGCCAUAUUGGAUUUGGAUAGCUAUUUUAGAAAUGUCAGCCUCCCUAACGUUCAACUGAUAAUACCCCAAAUGAAGGUCUAUCUUGGAGAAAUAUUUGGCACCCUGAAGUUGGUUAAACUGAUCAUCAAUUCUAGGAAAAGGAUUUUUGUUUUUAACAAUGACCUUAUUUAGAUGACGGUAGUCUAUACAUAUAUGGAGACAGCCAUCUUUCGUAUGCAUAAAGAGAACAGGUGCGCCCUAGGAGAAAUACUAGGACGAAUGAAGCCCUUAUCAAGAAGAUCUUUUAACUAUUAUUUCAAAUCUUUCAAUUCUAUAGGAGCCAUUCUAUAUGGUGGAAUAGAAAUAGGUCGGGUAUCCGGCAACAAAUCAAUGACAAAAUCUAUUUCCCUAUCAGGUGGUAUCCUUGGGAGAUUAUCGGGAAAGACUUUCAGGAAUUCAUUAACUAUAUGAACAAACUGGAGAGAAAGACUUUCAGCAUUGUAAUCUUUGACCCGAAUAAGAUGAUACAAACAACCCUUUGAUAUAAGCUUACGGGUACAAAGAUAAGAUAUGAAUUUCCCUCUGUGUGCUAAAGAAUACCCCUUCCACUGUAUCACUGGCUCAUUUGGAAAGGAAAAAUUGACUCUCGGGUUCUACAGUCUGACGUGGCAUAACACAAAUGCAGCCAAUCCAUCCCUAAAAUAGCAUCAACGUUAACCAUAUCAAGUUCUACAAAAUACUCCACAGUAUCACAAUGACUGACAGACACAAUGCAAUUUUUAUACACCCUCCUAGCCACAAUAGAGUCACCAACAGGAGUGGAAAUAGAUAAAGGUUCCAGAAUAUUUUUAGGCUAAAAAUCAAAACUAAUUACCACAAAUGGGGUAACAUAGGACAAAGUAGACUCAGGAUUAAGUAAUACAUACACAUCAUGGGAGAAAAUUUAUAAUGUACCUGUAACAACGUCUGGCAAAGCCUCUAUCUCCUGGAAGUUAGAUAAAGUAUAUAACCAGUUGCGACCGCCCCCGAUAGCUGAAGUAGUAGCCUUAGGUGGUGGUGAUGUCAUGGAGUUAGCCUGAGACUUAGCACCCCCAACAUUACCUCUAGCUGUCAGAUAAUCUCUCUGAAUAUGACCUGGCUGGCCACAAGCGUAGCACACCAUCGAGCCAAACUGAUAUUUCCCUACAUGACUCCUACCGUAAUUUCGACGUUGGGGAAGAGACCGAUAUGUCUGAGGGACACUACCUUGGUAAUGAGUCCCCUGCACCCCCGAUCCAUCCUUGGGCUGAAAGUUCUGAAACCAUCGAUCAAAUAACGAUCUGGGCACUGGGGAGCUAGCUAAAAACUAAGCAUUACUAAAGAACUUUUUCUUCGACCACUUAUUACUCCAAUUAUUACCACCAUGGUGCUGACUGUUAUUCUGUUCUGUAGAUCUGGCCCUCUUGGCAUACUUGUCCUUCUCCCUUUCCUCUGUCACCCUCUACUUUUGCUCUUUAACCUAUUGCAUAUGAACUGACAACCAAGAGAAAUACAUAUCCCUAUUCAAUAUCGCUCUCUUUCACUCCAGCACCAGAUCAUCCGAGAGUCUAGAUGCAAACUUCCUCAUGCGGGAUCUCAUGUUACCCACCAAUUCUUGAGCAUACCGGGAUAGCUAAGUGAACUUCAAUGUAUACACCUUAAAACUCAUUUUCCUUGCUUCAAAUUCAUAAAUUCCUCUUCCUCUGACUCCCUCAAUUCCUGGGGAAAUAAACGGUCUAGGAAAAGUUCCACAAAUUCACCCCACACAGAAGGCUCAGCAUCUCUACCCCUUAAAUUCUCCCAUUCAUUAUAACACUGAUUGUCUACAUUCUUCAACUAAUAGGCUGCCAACUUGACUUCUUCAACCUCAUUCACAUGCAUAACUUUGGAAAUUUUCUCCAGUUCAUCAAUGAACCCUUGGGGGUCCCCCUCAACCUUUAUGUCAGUAAACACAGGUGGGUUCAACCUUAUGAUUGGCCAACACAUGUAACCUCAACUGAACCAGAUACAAACCCCAUAUCUUCAAAUUAAUGGGUCUGAGAGGCCACCAGAUGAGCAGUCAUAUGGAUGGACUGUCGAAACUUAGCAUUCGAUACUUCCCUCUAAGGAGGAUGGGGAUGGUUAACACCGGUCUGUGGAGCCCGAGGUGAACUAGUUGGAAGUGGAGAAACUCUCGGAGUAGCAACAAACUUUAAGGUAUAAGCUCCAUUAUAGGUUCAUAUCCUAUGAGUAGAGAGGAUAUAUCAGCGUGGGUGUUUUGUUUGUUAGUCCUACGAAGAGGCAUUAUCAAUUUUAUGAAAUACAAGGAAGCAUUGGUUAGAGGACAUUUAGAUUCUACAACACAGACUAAAUCAUGAAAGAAAGAGAGAGACAUUCCUAAACUUCUUAUAGCCUCCUACUUAUAAGUAUGGCGUGCUAUACACCAGUAAAUAGGACUCUACCUGAUGCAAUUUCGCAGAUACCCUGGGACCAUAAACUUUGCUCUAAUACCAAGUUUGACACGACCCAAGUUGAGGCCCUGGCUGCAAUGGGCAUCCUAAAUGAUGAAGGUCUGAGUUCCCUUCUCUAACUGGCAAUCAUGCACACUAUUCAUAGACUAUAAGAAAUAAGGAAAAAAAUAUAUAAUAAGAUGAAACCAUGGUCAAUGUCUUAACUCAACUGAACAAUACAAAAUUAGAUAAAUAACGUUCAAAAACAUACAACACCAGUCUGCAAAAUCUCUAACAAUAUCAAAAAUCAACAUCUCUGUAAGAACUGGGACAAGGCCCCUAGUUGGACAAUAAAUCUAAUAAGCCAAUAAUGUUCUAAAAUAGGCCUUCUAAAAUAAGGGAGGCUCACCAAUGGUAAUCUCUGACAAGAUUCAACCUACUGCUUAGCGGGACCCCAAGAUUGUGCCUUAGAUCCUGAACUAUAGGGGGUCAAUACAAUUGUACUAGUAUGCAGAGCAAUCCAAACUAAUGAACUUUUAUACAACAUAAGUGAGAGUAAUUUAUAAAACAUGUCGGUCUAAAAUAAUUGAAGAUACAUUGUCAUAAUCAAUAGAUUUCAAAACAUUUCUGCAAAUCAUAACUCAACUCUGUGUCUUACUUCUUGGCUAGGUAGUACAUCCUACAACUCUACAAUCCCAUGGGCUAUAUGGAAUCCGCCCCUAACUCGGCUGCCAAGCCCUCAACCCAAGUUUGCCGUAAGAGCUGGAGUCUCUAUCUCUAAUAUGCCAAAGGGCACUAGAAUAGCGUAUAAUCCCUCUUGGGGAUAUAAUAAUCUAGUAUCAGUAAACCAAAAUUUUGGGUAAUGAGCUUUUUGAGCUUGUGCCUUUUUUGGGUAACCACCUAACUCUCUUUAAGCCUAUUUUUAACUUUUUAAGACAUGCAUUUUUUGAAAUCAAAAUUUAAAAAUCUUACUCUGUUAUGGCAUUCAUCUAUUUGGUAUCAUUAUACAAAGACUUGCAAGUCGUAUCUCUAAGCCAUAAAUUAUCAUGUUUCAUCUCUUUCAUUCAAAAACAAUAUUUAGACCACCAAAACAUUCAAACAAUACAAGAGAACUCAUAAUUCCAAAACAUAUGUCAAACUAUGCUAAAAUCCUUUCUUUUCAAUAUUUUAACAAAUGGUAGUCAAUUUCUCAAAAUAAUCAUUCAAUUCUUUUGAUUAUCACAUUCAUCCUUUAUAAAUGAGAAACAUUCCUCUCUUCAAUUCAUAAUCGACAUAAAAUUCAUGAUUGAUAGUAAAACCAUUGGUUCAUGCUUUAAGAUAUGCAAUUGAGUGAUCCAUGACUUGUCAAUCAAGCAAUAACACCAUGAGAGGGAAGCUCAUUAUUCAUGCUCUCAAUUUAUACUUUUCAAAACAUCGAAUGCAUAUGUAUAAAUAUAUACUUAAAUGAAAACCAAAUUUAUGGGGGAAGGCAUCAAGACCACAACAUUAUCAUCAAAAAGGGUUCACAAUGCAUAAUUGUUAAUGUAAAUUCAAAACCCUUCAUAAAUGCAUGAACUAUCAACAUUCAAAAUCUUAUUAAAAAGAUUUCACCAUGCCCAUAUAAUUUAGAAAAACUCCACCUACCUUAGAUUACUUAGUUUGAAGAAUCAAACUCGAAUCUUGGCUCGUUUCUUGGAAAUAUUAAACUUAAAGAUGAAUUUUAAAUAUUUGGGAGAGGAGUUAGGGUUAUUGUUAUUGAUGGAAUUGAGUAAUUCUGGUCAUAAAAUUCCCUAAUAAUGCCUUAAUCCACUGUUUACAUGACUUGGGGUUAUGGGAAAAAGUCCAAAUUUCCCUUACAGAAUUUAAAAGUUCAGCAGAAUCCCAUUUUUAGGCACCAUCGCAUAGAAUUGGGAACCAAUGCAUUAGGCGUCAUGACGCAUUGGGAACCAAUAUGAUAGGCAUCGUGACGCAUCAAUAUUGCAUUGAGUUACUAAUUCUGAAAUCCUAACACGUCCCAACCCUCAUCCGAAAAGUCCAAAACUCCCCCGAGAUAACCCCUUUACACUCCUAAACAUGAUUCAACUUAUAAAUUUAUGUCUUGAGGUCAGGAAGAUAGACUUAAAAAAUAAAAUUUUAGGAGCUUAAAAUAUGACUAAGUCCUUUUGACACUUAAAAAAUUUUUAGGUUGCUACCCCUUUAAGCAUACUACUAAGUGAGGCAUUAAGUCAAGAAUGUUAGGGGGUGUUACAGGAAAGCUAUGGUAUAUAUCAUAGUUAGUUGAGAAUUCUAAAUGUGUCUUAUUGGGUAUAGUUCAUGAAAGUUGUUAUUAAUAGAGGUAUUAGAGAAUAUGGGAAAAUUCUUAGGUGGGUUGGUUUCCUAGAAGUUCAUAUGUUUUAAUAAUGAUUGGGAUUGAAUGUCAUGCUAGUUUAUAAGAGGAUAUAUGCAUUGUACGCUUGUGAAUUCCUAAUAAGAGGUUGAAUUUAGUUGUUAAAGUUUUGGGGAGUGUUAUUAUUAAUAUAAGAGAUCUAAAAAUACAUAGGAUAUUUAAUCCCAUAAUUUAGGCUAGUAUUAUGGUGUUAUGUGUAAUAUCUUAUGACAUCGAGUUAGGCUUGAGCAUGGUGAGAGUAUGUAGUUCAACUCAGAAUUUGGUAGGAGAAGUUAUUAAUAAUAUUUGAAGGUUAUUAAUUGCAUCAAAUAAGGUGUAGUACUUAAGAGAAAGAGUAUAGUUGAGAAAAGUGAUUGAGAAGUGUUGCUAAGCUUGAAAGUUAAUAGUUGCAUUGCCUAAGGCAUAGUAAUCCUAUUCUAGCUUCUGUUCUAUAUGCUUGUAUCCAAUGUUAUGGAGUUGUAUCCAUGUUGAGAUUCCUUAUUAAAAUCUCAUACUUAGAUCAUGCCCAAAAUUCUUUACAUCAAUUUUUAUUAGAAGUUUUGAUAAUGAGAGUUUGAGGAAACUCAUAUUCCAUUGUUACUACUCUUGGAGAUUUUAUCACAUCAGCUAUCACUUCGUAGUUCUAUAUGUUGAUUGAGUCAUGAAUGCUUCAAUUGAGUUCUAAACUCUCAACUUGAAUCAAAUCCAUAUAAUAAAUCAAGUUAGCUUAGAAAUUAGUUUCAUAAUGAAAAUUUUAUUGUUUCAAAUCAGCUAUAUCAUUUAGUAGUAGACAUAGCAUACCUACUUUAUUGAUUCUGAUGUAUGUGUUCAUUUUCCAUAUGUAUCAGCUGAGUCAGUGCCCCGUCAAAAGGUGAUUCCAGUUAUGAUACAUGAUAAAUUUUAGAAAUCUAGUUUCAAGAUAGUAACUACAUUAUUCUCGUAAAAAUAUCAGUUUUUAUUCGAGGACGAAUGGUCCUAAGGGGAAGAUAUUCUAAUACCCCAAAAGCUCCUACAUAAGUUUCCAACUAUUCAUCAUAUGUUUAAAGGUGCCAAACCAGUUAUUUUAAACCUUAGAUAGGUGUCAUGACCAUUUAUCUUGAGUGUUAAGUGUUUUCAAUGCGAUCAUGGUCAUAGGAAGCUCUUUGAGCAAAGUGAAGUAGUGAACAUUUGUAUUGAUUGAGUUUAAAUAUUGGAUUUUACAAGGGUCAAACUUAAAUGAGUGUCUAGAAUAUAACAAUUUACGUGGCCCAUUAUAUAUCAAAUUAAAGCCCUUUGAGUCUUCUUUUCAAAUAAACUAACAGCUCAUUGAUCUGAUUUUGGAUUAAAAGGUUAUAGGUAUUUUAGUGAGACACUCCACGGCAGCCCCGCAUCGUGAAGGGUCCCACAAUAGGCUACUACCUAAGAUUUGCGAUAGGGUUUUCCCCACGUAUCCGGAGGUUUGCUAUUGGGGUUGCUUCGUGAAUCCCCUCCCCGUUCAUCAAAAUUGUCCAUUUUUAGUAUAUUUUAGGGGCAUAAGGAUCUUCUCACACCCCUAAGUCAUUCCCAAUCCCUUAUGUAUGUGUAUAGGAUCUUAAAAAUGACUUCAACCAUCAAAUAAGCAGUAUUUGCCCCUUUUUUAGUCAAUUAUUAAAUAUAUUCUUCUCUCCACUCUCAAUAGAUAAAGGGGUAGGGUUUUUUUCAAGAAUUCACCUCCCAAGGCUCCAAAUUCAAGCUCCUCCAAGAAGUCAAUAAAUUUUGGUAUGCGGGGUUUGAACAAAUAUACUCUUCCAUCCUUGUGCUCAAAAAGUUUGAUUUUAAUUGAUUUUGAAGAAAUUGACUUACUAAGGUUUAUACUCAUUUUCAUUCUUUGAGAUUUUGAUACUUUCUCAUGAAUUGAACAUUGUUUUGCAUAUGAUUUCAUGUUUAAUUAUGUUUUUAUCCAUGAAAGUGAUCUUAAGCAUUGAAUUUGAUAUUUUGAUAUGAAGUUUCUAUGAGAUGAUGAAUAAUUUCAAGUUUAAGCAUAAUGUACUAAGUUUACAAGAAGUUCAAGUUUACAAGUUCAAUAUAUAAGUUUUAAAGUUUGAUCAAAGUUUAGUUUGAUCUUAUGAUCUCAGAUAAGACAUGAAAUUCACUAGUUUCCUCAUGAAUAUGAUCUAAGUAAGAGAAACAUAGUUGGUUUUCAGUUUAUAAACACACAUGAUAUUUUAUGAUGGAUUUCACAAGUAUAAGCAUAGAAAUAUAUGUUCUGGGAGUAGUAUUCAGUACCAAGAGGGUAAUGUGGGUUUAGCACAUCCUAUUUCUCAGAAACUAUAUGCCACCGUAGGUUUAGAGGCCUCGACAGAGAGUGUCCCCUCCUUUACCCAAUAUGGUCUAAGUUUAGUGAUCACUCUAAGUUAAGAUUCUAUUCCAAUGGCAAGGGUAGAACUGCUCUCCUUAACAUCGAUAAGAUGUUGGACUCCAUGAUAGCUCACAUCAUUUAUGACGAUUAUAAGAAUCUCCUAUAAAAGUAAAGAUUUUAGAAAUCAAGUGCAAUGUCUCACUAAGCUUAUCAGAUUAUGCUUCAUUAUUCAUAUUUUAUGAUAUUUCAUCUUUCAAUUUUAUUCAUGAUCAAGGUGAGUCCUUUUACACUUAGCACGUAUGAUUUGAAAAUAUAUUCAGUUUCUGUUUUACUUAUUGCAUUCACCCUACAUACUUAGUACAUUCCAGAAGUACUGACCACGUAUACGUCCGUGUGUCUACAUUGUUUCAUAAUGUAGGUACUAGUUGUAGCCCACACAUCAUAAUCAAAUAGUUCACAGCUUCUAGCCAGUAUAUGAUAAGUUCUUUCGAUUCGAGGACUCGAUUAGACUAUAAUUUUAGUAUCAUUUUUAUCCAAUCAUAUUGAUUAGGGAUAGCCUGGAGUCAUGUCCCGACUACCUAUAGUCAGUAUUAGCAGAGGCUUCAUAGACGGUCAGUUAGUGUUGAUGUAUUAAAUUUUAAUUUUUGUUUUUUAUAACUAGAGUACAACUAUUUCAAAUAGCUUUAUAUUGAAUAUAUUCAUCUAAAGACAUCUGUUCCACUUAUUACUUCUAGUUUUAUGUAUUUUAUUCAGUUGCUUACGAGUUAUUCCAGUAUCAUGGAUUAGCUUAGAAUCACUUAUGGUUCUAAGCACUGUGUGACAUCUGGGGGGUAGUCUUGGGGUGUUACAACAUCAAUCCCACUAAGGUGACAAGAUAUGUCCCACUAACACCUAGUGCCAAAAAUAUCUCAUCGGUAUGUUCAGAUAUGUCGAAGCCUGAGUUAUCUGAUCAAGGCAAAAUCCAGGCAAAGGAAAGGCACCCUAUUGACACCAAAUCAGCUAAGACUGAAAUUGUCUCUGAAAAAUUAGAAUAAGGUACAAAAGAAUCCUAUCAUGGAGGAAAAAAAUUUGCUUUUUCCAGGUUGAAGCUUGUCACCAAAAAGAAGAAGAAUAUCCUACUUUCACAAGGACCAUUUAUGGCCUUGGGGCAGAAAGUGGAGAAACAUUUGAAAUUCUAAGAAUAAAAAAUUUAUAUCUGCGAAUUUUAUUAUUUUUGGAAGAAUUUCCUGAAUUUACCUCCAAAAAAUCCGAAUUUGGUUAUUUGGAUAAAAUCUACAGCAGUCCGAAUUUGGCAAAAAUAAUGAAACUACCACCUCAAUUGAUAACAGCUCUAAAAAUUAUGUUGAAGGAGAAGGCAUAUAUUUUAUCUUUAGCAUCUCACUGGAAUUUCAGGAUGAACAACUUUAUUAUCCAACUAUUAGUUAUAUAGCAGUGGAAAAACUAAAAACAUUCAAUGUUAGCGUGAUAGGAGUUGACAAAAAUCUUCCAUAUUUAAACAAAAAAAUGAAUUAAGACUCGCAAGGCCUGGGGAAUUUCUCACUAUAUAAAAUUCUCAAGAAAUAUUUUAAUGAUAACUAUAAAGUCCUUAAUGGAGAUACAAAUUGAACCUUAAUCACCUAAGACAAGAAAUCAUCUAAAAUCCUAAAGGAAAAAUUAUGGACUUUGACUACACCAGUUUUUAGCCGGAGAGAAAACUUGGAAACUUGUCUGCAAGUUCCUAGAUCACAAACACAAAGCUUCAAAAAAUGAAGAAAUUUGUGUAGAGAAGACUCUGACAAUAUGUCACAAAAUUAAAGAGUUAGAAUCAGGCAGCUGAAUUAAUAAAAUGUAGAUAGGUAAUGAUUCAAAAAGGUGUAAGCACUUGUGUCAUAAGAUAUGCAAUUGAAAGAAUGAAAAGGACAAUAGCAAAAUAAAGGAGAAUCUUAUUUUUGUAGAUAAGAAAUCUUAUCCUGUCGGUCAUUAUUGAAGGAUCAAAAGAAAAAUAUGCAAUUUCAUAGGGAUACCUCCAUGAAAAAGCAUAAUUAUAAUUUUGUUCAUCCUUACAUCUAUAAAAGGAGAAUAAAAAAUCCCUAGAAGAUAUACUACAUUUUUCACUAUCAUCCUUAGAAAAAAAGAAUUACGUAUCUUAGAGAUGAAAUAAAACUACUUCUCCGGGAAAAGGUAUCCAUAGUAAUAUUGUUAAUAUGUAGAAGAAAAAUCUAAAUAUAGGAUUUUUCUUUAUGUAUCAAUAUUAUGAAAUAAAGAAUAUUGUUUUGUACCCUCUUUUCUAAGUUUUAAAAUAGUUCCAAGUGAAGAUUGUGUUCAAAGUAGCCACAGACAAGAUGCUUGUAAAGACAAAAAUAAUGUUCAUUGCCCGAAGGAGAACAACUGUUGUGGUAAUAAGGCUAUUUUAAGGAGAGAAUAAGAGAGGUAUAUAUAGAAAAAUCUUUACUUCGUAAUAUUAGUAACAUAUAGUUAUAAUCUAUAUCAUCUUAUUAAUCUACAUAUAAGCAUACUACUUUAGAUACUAAGUACCUAUCGGGAGUUUAUCAUCUUGAUUAAUCAUACAGUACUGUUUAUAACAUUAUUUUUAUACUAUAAGUAUAAAUGAUAAAAGAUGAUGAUUGAAGCUCAAUAUCAUCUAAAGUUAGCCCUAAAAAGGUUAUGGAAAUAUCUAAUAGCCUUAAAUAAUCUUGAUGAAUUUAUCAUUGAGUUGGUAAAAGCCUACAAAACUGUAAAUCAACAUUUAUCUGUAUAGGAAGGAUUAUACAUAAAAUUCAAAUGAUUAGAGCACAAGAAUAUGUCUUGUAUCUAGAGGAUAAAAAUAAUAUUGAUAAAAAUAUUAUCUACACCACUUAAAUGAGCAGUAUAAAUUUCCUUCCGCAUAUUUACCCUAUAUAUAUAUAUAUACACAUACAUACAUACAUACAUACAUAUAUAUAUAUAUAUUAACUAAUCACCUGAAUCAUUUACAAAGCAAUCUAUACCACAUAGUUAGCUAAGUCUCACUGCUAGGACAACCACCCUAUCAAAAUACUACAACUAUCAACCCCAACAAACUAACAAAGUUGUCACUCUAAUGGUUGUACUACAUCUUUUGCAAAUUUGGAGCUCUAAAAUUAUAAGCAUAUGCAACAUUCUUAGUUAACCUGAAGUCAUCUACAAGAUUGGUGUUCAAAAAUUCUAAGCUUUCGCUCUUUCAAAUAGUGUGCUCAGUUUCAGCAACUACAAAUUGGAAUAUUUGGGCUAUUUAAGUAUUCCCCUUUUCACUCUUGUGUAUCAAUUGGAAAUAAAGGUCACAAUAUCCUCGUGUCAUCUUUUAUAUGCAUUCAAGUCAACACUUUAUGCCACAAUAGCCUCACAAAUAGAUACUAUAUACAAACAUGUAUUCUUUUGUUUCUCUUACAUGUUGAAAGAUGGAACAUAUGGGUUCAACCUUCACACCCCACUUGAUGAGCCUGACUUUGGUGAGCAACUUUGAUUGCAUAAGUAGCCACUAGUGAAUAUGGAUUUAGGUCUAGCAAGGUUGUCAACCAUCAAGCACUUUCAUGGCAUUCGAUCUAGCGCUCUCCCCAAUCAUUCCAAGAUAAAUUUAUUUUGUAAUACCUUAUUGUUUCUUUAUCAUGUGUUGCACUUGGUACCACUCUCUCCUAGCUUUCAAUAUUUUCCUUGUAAUCCAAUAAACUUGAGGAGGAAUAUUGAUAGCCUGCAGGUGAUGCUCCUUUAUGUAAUAAGUGUGUAUCCACGUGGUCUUCAUCUUAUCUUCUUUAUUUGUAAGAUCACAUAAUGUUUUUGUUAAGACAAUGUUGUUUCAUAGCUUUAAGUUUAUGAUGUUUAUUUAUCCCUUUUGCAGACUUGGGUAAACAUAUCCUAUCUCAAGCAACUAAAACUUUCUUGUUGUAUUUACUCCAAUCCAUUUUACCACCCUAUAAGGUGGAAAGAACAAUCGAGACCAAUUAAAUUGAGUACCAAACACUAUUAUUUGCAUUACCUGAAUUCUGUCUGCAUAAGAUAACUUCUUAGCUGUCUAUAAAGAAAUUCACUUCAUAAUCUUCCCAUAAGUGGUUGCCACUAGAUCAUAGUCAAUUUCUUAAUGAUAUUGGAACAUCUAAAUACUUAAAAGGUAAUUUUGUGUACCAACUUAUGCUAGCAUCCAUAUUCUUUUGUACCAUUGAAGAAUUCGACUGGCUAUCCUCCUACUUUGGGACCUGGUCCCAAACAAACAUAAACACCAAGAAUUUAAAUAGAAGAGUAUGUAACAGUAAAUAAACAAGGAACAUAGCAAAUUUUAGGUGGAAACUCCUUGCUUAAGGGAGAAAAACUUCGACCUGCCUUAAGGAUUUCCAACAGCUCCACUAAUAUUCAAGAAACCUUGAAUAUAGGCUCCAUGACAUCAAUGAUUAAACUCCUAAUUCUUCAUCAAAUAUUAAUACCUCUAUUACAAUGAACUCAAUGCAAUAACUCUAUUGCACACUGACCCAACUAACUCUAACUGAAUCACAAAGCUAACUCUAGAUUUUGUCAACUAAAUCUACAUAACAUUUUACCAAAAUAAUAAAAAGGAAAGCACCUAAUGAUAAUGAACUUAAAGUAGUACGCAAUGUUUCUAGACUCAAAAAUGAAGACUCAAGACAACAAGAGUUCUAAGGGACUGGCAAUGACUAAGUAGGUCCCUUAUUGUUGAUAAGCUUUUGAAUCAGCAAAGCUUCAACAGAUUUGAUGUGUUUUGGGAUAUGGAUGCAUUAAGUUUUUUUAUUGUUGAAAUGAGCAUUUAUAAGAGACAAGAAAACCUAGGAUUAAUCUUAUUGGUUGAGACAAAAAGGGUACAAGGCUUUUCAUCAACUUUUCUACGGUGUACUAUGUCCAUCUAUAGUACUGACCAAUGUCAAUGACGUGAAAUACGGUCAACUAGGUCCUUAAGUAGUUGUCGCUUUUGUCAUCACAAGAUCUUCAAGAACCAGGUCCCAAGGGAUAAUUUGUCAAUCAUCAAACUAAUGACUACACAGACUAUACCCCUCAUCUACACAUUAUACCCCUUAUCUUCCCUCUUUUGGAAUCAUAAAAGUCCUAAAAUAGUGAACCAAGUAGAGAUAAGCACACAUGUUAGCACAUGGACAUGGAGGCUACACUGACAUGAGCACAAAAAAUAAGAGAAAGUAAGAGAGAUGAUAACACAAAGCAGAUUCAUUCAUUUUUCAUAGAGGAUAGCAUCAUACAAAAUUUAAAAAAGAUAAUAGCAUUAAAAAACAAAAAUAGUAGUGUCAACACAACAAGAAAAAAACUUAAGGAGGCCAGACUUGGCGAGGCUUAAAAGGGGAAAAAACUGAGGACUCGAUUAGGGAGACACCUAGGAGGAAUGACCGAAAGGAGUUUGGGACAAUUAGUGAAGAAGCAUGGUUAUUCUCUCACUUUCUGGAAUAUGAGUCUUUAGGAGUUGUUGAGUUAAAUCCUUGAUAUUUGCAGUCGAAACCUCAACUUUUGCCUCCAAUUUCUUUAGAUUCUCAUACAAUUCUGCAUUUUCAGCACUUAAUUCUCUAUUGAACCUAGUCCCUCAUCGCUCCUUUUCACUAAGGAUGCCUUCAGAGAAAAAAAUUCUAUAUUUUUUUGUGCUACAAUGGCUUCCAUCUCAUCCAAUUAUUCCCCCAUCCCAGUUUGAACAUCAAUAAGCUCGACAACUAUGGAUUUGGAUUUCCCUUCACCUCUGCUAGGGAUGCAUUCAUUAUCAUCCAUGGUUGUUACAUUGAACACUUGAUUUACUGAACCUGUCUUUCAAAGGCCACACUAAUGUUAAAGUACAAACAGAUUUGGUUAAUCCAAAACACAUAGUUCAAUCCAUGUUUUCUAUCUUUUAUUGUCAUCACUGUGUUUAUAUGCUCAAUCACAGUAGCUAGGAAAUUUACCUUUUGAUAUUUGUACAUGGCCUUCAUAAAUGUAAUACCCCGACUUCCUUUAAGUCAAAUCUAGUCUCCAGAAGAGUUACUGAUGACAUCCUAAAUGAUUAAUAUUUAAAUCAGAUAGAAUUUCCCCAUUCCAUCAAAAUCUGACAUGGGAAUUUGAAUAAGCUUUCCAUCGAUACCCAUUCCGUCAAAAUCCAACGUAGAAAGAGAAAUUUAUGGCCAAAAUACAGAAAUCAGUCAAAACUGCCCAGGUGUGACGGUAGAGGCCGACGGACCAUCAAGCUAGCGAUGGACCGUCGCCCAAGCUAUCGCAGUGAAGGUAGUAAGACCAUAUUCUGCCUAAGGGCAACGGCUCAGGCCGACAGACCAUCAAGCUAGUGAUGGACCGUCGCCCAAGCCAUCAUAGCAGAGGCAGUAAACCCUUAUUCUGCCUAGGUACGACGGCCAAAACCAACGGACCAUCGACCCAGCAAUGGACCAUCGCACCUACCGUCAUAUAUUUGGUUCAGUUAUUUUAAGUCAUUUUUAAAAUGGGGAUUUUUGGUAUUUUACCACACUUUCUAAUACCUAGUUUUAUCAGAUGAAGGCUUAUAAGUUCAUUAUCCAUCUACAACAUCAAAUUAGGGUUUUCUCUCAAAGAUAAUCCCCAAGAACAAGAUCCAAAUCCUUCUUCAAGAAACUAAGAGAUUCAAGUUCUUCAAGUCAAAGGACUUCAAGGAACUCACAACCUAGUAUGUCAUGUGUUGAUCCAUGGGUCCCUUUCACCCAUGAAGCUCAAGAAUAUCUUUUCAAAAUCCAAGAUUUGUGUAUGUAUGAAUGUUUAUGAUUUAAAUUGAAUUGAAAUAUAAUGUUCAUGAUGUUGUGGGGUUUUGAUUCAUGUUUGAAAUUACAUAUUCCAAUGAUUGACCCUAGGAUGUCGUGAUUUGCAUAAUAAUCAUGAUAAGACCUUAAAUUUAGAUGUUGAUUGAUGUAUCCAUGAUUAUUAGAUGUGUUGAUGAUUGUAUAACCAAAGCAUGCUCCCAAUGUGUUCAAUUAAAAUCCUAUGUGAAGGAAAAGUGCCAUACUAGUAUGAUAAUAUGAAAUCCCCAUUUAUGUACAAGUUUAUGCAUGUCAAAUGUUUGAUGAAAUGUCUUAGUCAGUGAAUUAAGGAUACAUGUGUAACCCUUGUGGUGAUUUAUAACUUCUACUUCAUGAAAUCUCCAAGUUAUUGUAUUAUGGAUUGUGAUGUUGGUCAUGUAUUCAAGAAAGUCAUGCUUUGUCAGUUUCAUGCUAUCGAGUCCUGGGGGUACUUAUACCCUACAAUUUAGAUGUGUGUCUAGAGCCAGUGUUAUGUUUUCAAGAUACUCUCAGUCGAUCCAUGUUCAUAGAAAUUCAGUCAGUCAUGUGACUCAAGAAAACUCAAUAAUCUCAGUAGUAUUCUGUCAGUUAAUAGAACUCGGUUAAUUCAGUUUAGUCCAGUUUAGUUAAUCAUGUUCAGUGUCUAUUCAGAUGAGAGUAGGAAUUAGUAUCGAGUGAAACCAAGGAUGGGAACACACACUGUCAGAUGAGGGUGUGAUUCUUAAAAGUCAUCCUUACAUUCCAAAACUAUGUAGCCAGCAUAUGUUCAGACAUCAACACUGUCAGAUGAGGGUUGACAGUGUUGAUGAGGUAGAUAAGCACUGUCAGAUGAGGGGCCCACCAUUCUCUUUUAGGGUACUGUUAGAUUAGGGUUACCCAUAGAUUGUCAUUACUAGUGGGGCGGUAUUGACACCCUUUCAAUUAGGGUUACAAAUUAGAUCCCACCUUAGCUAUAUUACUUUAUUUGGGGUAUGUCGAUUAGAUGAAUACUUUCCAUAGUUUUAGUUAUAGAUCAGGACUGUCUGAUACAGUUAUUCAUUCUCAAUAAUAGAACUCAGAUAGUUCUACAGAAUUUAGGACUGUCAGAUACAGUCAAUUCAGAAUAGAACGGAACUCAGCUAGUUCCAUCAGAAACUAGAUUGUCAGAUACAGUCACUCAGUAUUAGUUAUUUAGUUAUACAGUUAUUAGUAUCUCUUGUUAUCAAUACUCAGAUUUAGUAAUCAUGUUAUCAUGAAAUCAGUUAUAGUUGUUAUGUAUUCAUGCAUGCGUUCUCACGUUCAUGUUAUCCAGCCAGUAAGUAUAGUUCAUGCAUGUGAGCCCUUUGCAUUCAGCCUACCUCACAUGCAUACCAGUAUAUUCAAUUGUACUAACACAUUUGUACUAUGGUGUUUUAGACCGUAGGUUCAGAAGCAUGAGCUCCAGAGCAUCAGUAGCAGUCAUAGUUAGUAGUGAGUCUUCAUCCUUCGAGGACAUGAUUAUUAUUUUAUUAUUUCAUUACUUAGUUUAUUUCAGUAGUUGGAGUUGGUUAGGGACAUGUCCCAUCAACUCCUUAUUUAGACAGUUUAGUUAGUUAGAGGCUUUUCAAACUAUAGUAUGUUCAGAUAGUUUAUUUUAGUUGUUUUGGGUAUUUCAUACCCCACCCAGAUGUUAUAUUUUAUUAGAUACUAUGUCUCAGUUUUGAACCUUAUGGCCUUUCAUCCUUUAUUUCCAUAUUUAUAUAGUAUAUUAAGCAGUAUACAGGUACAGAUAUUAGUCAUAGGUUAGCUUAUGGUCCUUUGGGGUCAUUAGCACCGUGUGGCAUUUCGGGUACGAGACUCACAGUGUUACAAUAAGGAAUAGGUUGGAAAAUAUCACUGUAGUCCUCUUCUAUAUAUGAGGAAGGAGCACCUUGUUUACCAACUCAAAAAUAAAUUGGUAUUCCCCUUCCAAAGCCUUCGUGGUCAUAUUUUUAGUAUUCAUAUCAUCUAGCUUUCUGUAGAUUUUUAGAAAAAAAUUUUAACCCUUUUUAUUACUUAGGUACCUGGUACCUUCAGUAGGUAUUCCAAGAAUCUCAAACAAUACUUAUUUAUCAAUUGUAAUGCUCACCUCAUUGAUUUGAGUAUUCAAUUAUAAAUCAUCAGCAGAGAAGGCUAGAUUGUGAUAAACAUUCUAAAAAAAAUUUCAUAUAGGGUAGGAACAGGAAACUCAAAAUGGUGUUCCUAACUUUAAAACUUUACCCAAUCCAACAACACAGUAUUCCUAGCAUAGCAGCACUAUCAGGGUCAAAAACUCAACCCCUUAAGACUUAAUUAGUCUUGAGAAUCUCCUAUCUGGAAUCCCUUGACAAACCCUUCUCUUUUUCUUUAGAAGAAGCUUUUCCAGAGGGACCAGUUCCUUUUGUAGAAACCCCAGGGUCUCUUAAGGUCUUAGAAGAUUUAGAAUUAGGACCUGGUCCUCGGUGCUAGACUUCUCAGUCCUUUUCCUCUGACCAAUGCUCGUGGUUAUAUGUUUAUUGAUCAUUACUCCUUUGGAUUUCUCUUUUUUGGGGAGAAACAAUAGCUUUUCUUUUGUGUUAGCUUUGGUGGUAGCCAUACUCUUUUCAAUAUUAAAAUUGUCAUCAACAUCCUCAUACAUAUCAUAGUUAUCAAACAUACUUCUAAAAAUAUUUUAAAGUCACUAUCAGAACUGUCAUUAAAAUCACUCUAAGUCUCCUUAUCAGAUUUCUCAACUGUCACACCCUUUUCAACUAGAGGUUCAACUACAAUCACUCUCUUCUUUUUCAACAUCCUCCUUUUCUUAGUAUUAUUUUUGUUUUCUUCCAAGGCUUCUUUCAUCAACUUCCAUGAAUUCAACCUAGUCCCUGGAGGUUUAACAGGUUUGGGUGGAGCUUUGGUAAAAGAAAAGGAUCCCUUCUUAGAUAUUUUUCAUGAUAAGGGUUGGUUAUCCUCACUAUUAGUAUCUUCUUUUUCAUUCGUAUCUCCACCAAACAGGUCGAGAACAGGGGAGAACAUUAUAGAAGAAAACACUAAGUUGUUAUCCUCAGCAUUCUCAGGAGGAUCAUUUUGCCUUCUUGUGAACAAUUUUACAGGAGUUGUCUCCCACUUUGGUGAGUCUAGAGUGCUAGGGUAUUUAGGAGGUUCUAUACUAAGGGUAGCGAGAUCUUGAACCCUAAUUUCCUCGCUUAUGGGAAGGAUGCUUAAAAAAGUUCCCUAAGAAGUCGACAAAUCCCCAUCAAACAUAUUUUUGUGAAUAGAGGCACUCCUAAACUUACUAGGUAACUUACCCUUAUCAGGAGAUACGCAUUGGAAGGAGAGUCCAAAACUGACUCAGAGGGAACUAAUUAAUUUGGGAUAGAAGGAAUUUCUUCAGAGACUUUGUCUUUGGAAGAGUUGAUUUUAGGGUCUUCUUAGAGACUUUGUCUUUGGAAGGAUCGAUUUUAGGGUCAGGGAUGGAGGGUGCAUCUUGGUUAGUUUUCCCUGAAAAGAAUGCAUCAGAUCAAUCCUUCUUUUUUUUGCACUAUCUUCUCUGGAAAUUUUAGGAAAGAAAAGGGGAAAGAACUUUGUAAUGGAAAAAGGAUUUUGAGAUUGAAAAUCAAAAGGAGGGGAUGGAGAAUCAACCACUUAUAAAGAAGAGGGCUCUUUUUGAGGAGGAAAUGAUAGUGGUAGAUUCGACAUGAUAGCUUAGAAAGAAUAUUAGGAAGAUUUAAGAUUUGAAAUAAGAUGAAGAAUGGGAAAAAGUUUGAAAACGAAUAGGCUACAAUUGGGAAGAUUUUUUAAAAUGGAUAGAUGAGAGAUUAGGCAUAACUUAAAUGGGAAAGAAGAGAAUGAUUCAAAUUUAGUGAAGGGUUGUGGUUGAUAAGAUGUGUUAGGUCAGAUGAGCGCGCCCUUUAGACUCAAAGUGGGGGUUACAACUUUUAAGAAUGGGAGGGAUAUGAUGUAGCAGACUUGUCACUUAAUUUAAAAAGCUACCGCUUAAGAAUAUGGUUUGAUACCAAAUGAAUGAGGGAUCUGGUCCCUCUAUGAAUUUCUGUGCAUAAUGAGCUUUGAGAUGUCUCAUCCCCCUCCGUUCUUCUCUUUCUUUCCAUGGUAUAUAUCAACAGAAGAUAUGAGACUGAAUUAGACAUAUGUUACAUUAUCAUACAAGGAUACCUUCUUAUCAAUUCAUAGCCACGUUGGGGGAUUAAUAUAAAUAACAUGCAUUUAGCUUGGUCUCAUUAUCCUCAGCUUUGUCUCAUUCUUUUCAAAUUGUUCCCUGCAAAGACCCUUAGUGAAUAUAUAUAUAAUUUGGUCUUAGAUACUUGAAAACCCCAUCUUAAUUAAUCCUUUCUCCAUAUUAUCUCUGGGAAAGUGAUGCCUGAUAUCAAUAUGCUUGGUUCUCUUGUGUUGAACUGGAUUUUUGGACAUGUUUACUGCACUUGUGUUGUCACAGGAUUGGGUAACACAAUCUAAGAUUAUACUUAAAUCUUCAAGUUGCCUCUUGAUCCAAAGUAAUUGAGCACAACAUGAAGUAGCUACAAUAAAUUUAGCUUCAGUAUUUGAAAGAGCCACUAAAUUUUGCUUCUUAGUACCCUAGAAAAUCAAGGAUGAUCUAAGAAAGUGAGACAUACUUGAGGUACUCUUUCUAUCAAUUAGGUACCCAGCAUAGUUAGAAUCUGCAUACCCAACCAAGUCAAAUUUAUCACCAGUAGGAUAGAAGAGGACCAAGUCAGGAGUUCCAUUGAGAAAUUUGAGAAUCCCUUUUAUAACUUUCAAGUGAGGAUGCCUUAGGACUUGCUUGGAACCUAGCACAUAUCCCAAUACUAAAUGUAAUGUUAGUUUUAUUAGUUGUCAAUUGGAGAAAUAAGACAAUGAUUCCUUUGUGCGUAGUUUCAUUAACAGAGGAACCAGGUUCAUCCAAGUCCAGAUUGGAGAAAGUUCUAAUAGGAGUGUCAAUAGGCUUUGCAUCCUCCAUGUGGAACCUUUUGAGCAACUCAUGAAUGUACUUCUGCUAACAUAUUUUAGUCCCAGUUGCACUUCGCAUAAUUUGUAGUCCAAGGAAUAAAUUGAGUUCUCCCAUCAUGCUCAUAUCAAACUAACUACUCAUUAACUUUGCAAACUUAUCACAUAGGGAAUUGAUUGUAGCUCUACUUUACAAACAAUUCUCCUUUGAGCAUCCCAUUCAGAAAAGCACUCUUAACAUCUAUUUUGAUUAAUUUGAAUUCUAUGUGUAAGACCUCGCAAAAUUCUAAGCUUGACUUAGUCCAUUAAAGAUUGAAAAUAGACCCCAGACUUAGAAAUUUUAGCUAAGUGUUUACACUUAGAAUUAUUUUAUCCUUCAUAAGUUGGCAAUCUUAUUUCACGAUCCAUACGACCUUUAAAUGUCAUUUUUUAGGUUGAUCCAUGAUCAGGAAUGUCAGUAGGUGUCCUAGACAAGUUUCAGAAUUUUGGGACCUCGUUUAAAUCAAGUUUGGGAGUCCAAACUAAUGGAUCGAUGUGAUAUCGACGAGACACACCGACUAUCACAGCGAUAAAUAUUUUUUCCAUCCAUAGCAUCGAUCCCAUUGAGUUGGUACAUCAGCCAUAGCAUCGAUCUCAUCGAUGAGGCACAUCGAGUUGCGCAUCACUGGGCACACUUUCUGUCAUUAAAAGGCACAUCCAGAGGGGUAUUUGGGUCAUUUUUCACCCUUAAUCAGCCCAUAAAUACAAAAUUCAGCCCUCAAUAAGCAAAAUACACUCACUUUCUGUCAAAUUCUCUCAAGACACAAACCCUAACCCAACACAGUCAAAAUCAAGAUCCAAGAAAUUCACCAUCAAUCUUCACAAAUUCAAGCAUCAAGGCAUGUUAGGUGUUCAUCCAAGGGUUUUCUUCCAUCCUUGGAGUUCAAGAACCCCUUUUAAAUUUAUAAGUUGAUUUCUUUCAUGAAUUUCAUGGUGAAUUAAUUGUAUUCAUGAUUAUGAUGUUAUUUGGGUUUUUAAUCCAUGAUUUAGUACAAGAUUCAUGUAAAUUUAUUUGACAUGUGUGUGGUAUUAUGUGAAUUUAUGUUUAAGCCAUUGAAAUUGUAAGUUGGGGUUUUGAAAUCAUGAGGCCUACAUGUUAUUUAGUAUCAUGUGUAUAGAUUAUGUUCCCCAAAUAUUUGAUAGAAUGCCCUUGUGAUUAAACGGUGAAAUAAUGACAUUCUAGUAUAUGUACAAGCUUAUGCCCUACAGGUGUUAGAUGAAAUGCUUAUGUGAUUUGACCAGUGAAAUAAUGACAUGUUAUGUGAAUCCUUCCAUUCACAAGUUUGUGUAUGUCAAGUGAUUGACAAAAUGUCUAAAUGAGUGCAUUGUUAGCAAGCAAGUAUUGUUAUGCCUUUAUAAUCAUGCUAUGUUUUACUUUCCAUGCUAUCGAGUCCUGGAGGUAUUUAAUACCCAAUAAUUUAGCAUUGCACCUAGAUCCAGUGUCAGUUAUAGAAUCUCAGUCAUGUCACAAUCAGUAGUACUCUCAAUCAGUUACAGAACUCAAUAGAACUUGAUCAGCUAUAGAAUUUAGGAAAACUCAGUAAUCUCAAGUAUCAGUCCUGUCCUGUUUAGUAUACUCAAUUCAAUGUCUUUUAGUUGGGAGUAGGAUUCAGCAUCGAGUGAUCCUAGGGAUCGGGCCUCACUUGUUAUCUAGGACUAGGUCCCUAGAAGCAAUCCCUAAGUUCCAAAACUACGUAGCCAGUGUAGGUUAUGAGAUGCCACCUGCUAGAUAGGACUGACAAUCUCUGGGAUUACUCGUUAGUUAGGACUGAUCUCAGGAGUCACCCUCUAGAUUAGGACUAACUCCACAGCCAGUGUUAGUACCCGUGGCAUGGUACUAGCACCCUUCCAACUGGGGUCACAGGUUGGAAUCCUAUCAACUUAGAUUUGGGACAUAUCGGUUAGAUGAUUACCUCCCACAGUUUUAGUUUUAGUCUCAGUAUAGAACUCAGUUCAGUUCUACAAAAUCAGGACUAUCAAACACAGUCACCUAGCUUAGUAUAGAACUCAGUUCAGUUCUAUAGAAUCAAGACUGUCAGAAAUAGUCACCCAGCUAUCAGUAACACAGUUAUUAGUAAUUUUAGAUAUCAUUCACUCAGUUAAUAUCAGAACUACAGUAUUAGUAAACUUAAAUAUUAGUUAAUCAGUAACCAGUGUUAACAUGAUCUCAGUUAUAUUUUAUAUAUUCAUCUAUGUACUCUUAUUCAGUUACGUCUAUGUUACUCAACUAGUUGAUAUCCAUGCAUAUAAACCCAUGGAUAUAAGCCCACCUCACUUAGAAUACCAGUACAUUCAAAGUACUGACUCAUAUUUUUCUUUUGUGCUAUGAUGUCUUAUAUCAUAGGUUCAGACGCACGGGCUCUUAACCACUCUUAGCAGCCUGGAUUAUUAGCAGAAAAUUUAGUAGUGAGUCCUCAUCUAUCAAGGGCAUGCUUUUAUUUCAGUUAUUAGUUUAUCAGUAGUUGGAGUUAGUUGGGGGCUUGUCCCAUCUACUCCAUAUUCCGACAGUUCAGUUAGAGGCUUUUCAUACUAGACUUUCAGAUAGUAUUCAAUUGUACAACUUAUUAUUUCAGCUGCUAUUUUGUUUAGUAUUUCAGGUUUUGAACCUUAUGGCAUUUCAUCCUAUUUUUUUGUAUUUAUUUUAAUGAUGUUACUUAUUUCUCAUAGUAGAUAUCAGUCAUGAGUUAGCUUGUGGUCCUUUGGGGUCAUAAGCAUCGUGUAUCAUUCGGGGUACAGACUCGGGGCGUUACACUAUGUAGGAGGCAAAAGCAAUGAGGAUCUAGAUCGCCUCCAUUCUAUCCACUGAAGCAAAUGUUUCAUCAUAGUCUAUUCCUUAUUCCUAGUUAGAACCUUGGACAACCAACCUAGAUUUGUUCCUGAUUGUAUUUCCAUGCUCAUCAGCUUUGUUUCUAUAAAUCCACUUGGUCCCUAUGAUUGAUCUAUCUAGGGGUCGUGGAACUUGGUGCCUCACUUUGCUUCUUUCAAAUUAAUAUAGCUCUUUUUGUAUGGCAUUAAUCCAAUCUGCAUCUUUCAAUGCCUUUUUCACAUUCUUGGGCUCAAUUUGAGAUAAGAAUCCAAAGAAGGCACAUAUAUUUCUUACUUUGUUUCUAUUUUGUAUGAUAAAAGGUAAAAAAAAAUUAUCUAGUGGAUGUGAAGAUUUAUGCUUACAGCUGGAUAUUUGAGGAGUAGGCUUACUAGAACUGGUACCAGUUCCCAAAGAGGUAUUACCCUCAGGAGACUGGUGAUCCACUUAGCUAGAGUGAAGAUCAAUAACUUCGUAGGGGGGUUGAACUGAACCAAAUUUCUGGGGAUCUUUAACCUCAUCAUCAUGGUCAUAAGAUAAACCUAGUCCUUGAGAUUCCUCAUCAUCUUUUACACCUUCUUCUGACUCAUCACCAUCCCGUACUGACUUCUCACCAAUCUUGAUGCAAAUUGAGAUAGCAUUAUUAAUAGCAAACGUGAUGAUGUGAACUAUCUUGAAUAUGAAAGCAUUCAAUCACCCAUAAAUAAUUUUAAGUUCCUUGGAAGGAUCAUCAAAAGAGAUUUUAAAGUCCAUAACAUCUCAAAUGGAUCUAUAAUAAAAGUGGUGACAACCAAGAAGAUCAUUAAGGACUCAAGUGGCUAUUAUUUUAUAAUUUGGUCUUAUUUUUAAUUUCACUAUUUUUGCAUGACUAGUAUAAAUAGUCUUAAGUCUUCCAUAUUGGGUUAGAUAGUUUUUGAAUAUUGUGUGCCUCUUGUGUGAGCUUAGAGCUGAAAUCUCUUAUCUCUUCAUUGAACCCCUCGAUUACUUGAGUAAGUAAUUUGUUGUAUGUUCUCAAUUUCUCUUCUCCCUUGGAUUGAAUCUAAUGAUUAAUGUAUUUUAAUUAUUAGUUUUUCCCUUCUUUUCUUCUAAAUAUCUUCUCUCUUUCUUUCUAGCUCUUAAUUAUAUCCUUGUAUCCUAUCUUAUUGUCUUGUUUGAGUUUUUUUGAAUCUCGUUUUAUAUAAAAUCUUGAGAAAUUCUUCAUGAUUAGUAUCAUUGUUGUCAUUUACUCCACCACCUUCAUCAAACACUAUAUGAACACUUUCCUCCAAACAUUUAGUUCUUUUGUUGAAGAUUCUAUAGGAUUUGUUAUUUGAUGAAUAUCCAACAAAAACAUUAUCAUCACACUUUGGAUCAAAUUUUCCAAGGUUAUUCUAGCCAUUAUUGAUCACAAGACACUUGCACCCAAAUGGCUUGAAGUAACUUAACUUGGGCUUCUUCCUGUUCAGGAGCUCAUAGGAGUGUUAUUAAGAAUUGAUCUGAUAAAGCUCUUAUUUAUUACAUAUCAUUUUAUAUUCAUUGCUUCAGCCCAGAAGUUUUGAGUUAUAUCUUCCUCAAUCAUCAUGGUUCAGGCAAUAUCCACCAAUGUCCUAGUUUCCUCUCCACAACACCAUUUUUGUGGUGUUCUAGGAGCUGAAAAUUCUAAUCGACUCUAAGUCCAAUGCAAAACUAAUUGAACCUUGAAUUUUCAAACUCAGUACCAUGAUCUGGUCUGAUUCCUACUAUCUUCUUAUUAUAAUUCAACAAACCUUCUUUGCAAAGGCUUUAAAUACUGGAAAUGUUUUUUUUUGGAUCUCAAGAAGAAUGUACAAGUAAAUCUUGAAUAUUCAUCAACUAUGACUAAGAUAUACUUCUUUUCUCCUCUGCUUAUAACUUUUAUAGGUCCACAUAGAUCUAUAUGAAGAAGAUGUAGUGGCAUGGAAGUGAUUACUUCUCUUUUUGGCUUGAAGGAGCACCUAGUUUGCUUGCUCUUUACACAUGCAUCACACACCUUAGAGAUGACAAACUUUAAAUAAGGUAGACCUCGAACCAGGUCCCUACUUACCAACUUGUUCAGUAAGGUGCAACUCACAUGACCUAGUCUUUUAUGCCAAUAUAUUAAGUUUUUAGGUUUGCUUGACCCUAGAUAAGAUACAUACAUAUUUUUGUUUCUCAAGACUGUCAGAAUAACCUCACCAUCCUUGAAUCGUGUGACCCCACACUUGUAUAACUUAAACCUCACUUCAUUACCCUUGUCAUAAAUAUGUUCCGCACCCAACAGGAUAAAGUUUAGACCAUCCACAAAAUAAAUAUCAUCAAUGGCUUCACCCAAAUUGUUCCCAACCUCACCAAUGCCUACUAUGUAGCCCUUCUUUCCAUCAUCAAAGGAGACACUGCCUCCUUUAUAGGAGAGCAAGAGGAAGUCUUGAAUUCUACCAAUCAUGUGUUGUGAAGAUCCAUUAUCCAUGUACCAGUGGUGGCUGCUUCCACUUGUUUGCCCUGCAUUGACAAUAGUUGUUAGCUUUGGGAACCCAUUUCAACUUAAGUUUCUAGUAUGAUGACAAAGGAAAAAUUAGGUUCUUCUUAGUCCAUAAAAGUAAACCAUCACUAUUUCUUUUAUAUUUAGUAACCUUUUUUAGACUUCUCAUAGAAGCUAGUCUUGAGGGGCAAGAAUCCCUAGUAUGGCCAUUUUUUCCAUACAAAGUGAACAAGAGAUUGUCCUUAAUAGAGAGAUAUUUACUAAAAGGAUUAUAGCAUCCACUUGAGCUAUGGUAGCCCAAACCUCUAUUUCUAUUUGAUCCUUGACUGGUAAGACUGGUCAGAACUUGAGAGGAGGUGGUCCAUUUAAGAGUUUUCUCAAGCUCAGCGUUGAUUUGAACUAAGUCCUUCUUAAGUUCAAAGUUUUUUUCGAGAGAAAGAGUCAAAUUACCAUUUGCCUUGGCCACCUUUUCCUCUAACUCAAAUUGAAUUUAGCUUCCUUCACUUUUUCUUAUAGAUUAGACUUAGAAAUUUCACUGAUCUUUCUAUUUAAAAGGUCAUUUUCAAGGGAGAGGAAUUGACAAGUUUCUUGCAACUUAGAUAUUUUCUCAACUAAAUCCACUUUUUCAACUUCAAAGUCAUCAAGAUUUUUAUUUAGUGACCCCUUAUUAUUUAUAAGCUCACAAAUAGUAUCUAUCAGAUUAUUAGCAAGAGACUUUAGUUCUUUAGGAAAGUAAUCUUUGAGAUUAUCUUUGAUGUAUAGAACGGUUACCUUUUUAUCUUCAUCAUCAUCUAAUUUUGCCAUCAGGACUGAAAGGGACUCAUAUAUUUGGACAUCCUCCUCCACCACUAUCAUAGAGACAUCACUUGGUUUCUCAGAUUCAUCAGACUCACUAGAGGAUUCUUCCUAAGUAGCAAGGACCUGUUUCACAACUUUGUUAGCAGCAGCUUUCCUACUAUACUUAUCAGGGAAUCGGUCCUUAUUUUUCUCUCUUUCUCCAGCUUGUUUAACAUAAUCUAUGUACUUUAUUUUGUGGAGAGGACAAACUUUGAUGAAGUCACCAUCUUUCCACUCUAGUGACAAGUUUCAUUUGCUUUGCCUUCUCUAUUGUAUCUGCUGGAAUCUCCUCUACUAGGCAGAUGUAACACCCCGCAACCGGGUCUUGGAACGUCACACUUAAGGCUACAGUAUCCCCAAGCUAACCCUUUGAGCCUUCUACUUCGUAUAUUAGCUUACUUAGAGAUAAAAUACAUGAACUUAACACUCUGACAUCAUAAAAUAAGAAAUAUGAAUAAAAUACUUGGUCUGAACAAACUACAACUCAAGGAAAAUCUCAAAGUGCUGACAAUCUGAUGACUAGUCUGACAAACCUCUACUACUCUAAACUAGAGAGCCAUUGGGACAAGUCCCCAACUGACUCAUACUCAACUGACAAGAAUUAAAUAGCUACUAAAUAAAACUGGAAGUAUGAGAAUAACCGGUCCCCGAAACAUGAGGAGUCACCACAACUAAUAUAUAGAUAGGAGUGCUCGAAAGGAUCACUAGUGAGGAUGAGACUGAGCACCUGAACUACAUUACGAGAAUAUAUGGCACACAGUUAAAAUAUGUGGGUCAGUACUUUGGGAAUGUACUGAGCAUAUGGGGGAGUGUGAAAUUAAAAUAAUCAAUAUCAUAAGCUUUUAUAGAAAACCUGCAUGGUGUAAAACAUACUCACAUAGCUUGAAAUAAAUAUAUGCCACAAGACUCAUAAAUCAUCNNNNNNNNNNNNNNNNNNNNNNNNNNNNNNNNNNNNNNNNNNNNNNNNNNNNNNNNNNNNNNNNNNNNACUUAUACUUUCAAAACUUUGUAACUUUAAGACUAAAACUCUUUGAAACUUGGAAGACUUUAGAACUUACAGAACUUUAGGAACUUAAGGAGUUUCUCUUAACCGACAUAAACCAUGUGAGUUACAUGGAGUCCAACAUCUUACCCACAUUGGGGAGAGCUAUUGUAUCCUUGUCAUCGGAUAAAACCUUACCUUUAGUGAUCACUAUCUUAACACACUUAGGGUAUAUCAAGAACCUACGGGGGCAUGUAGUUCUGGGGUAUGAGACCUCAGAAUCAAGACCAACUCGAUGCUAAAUACUACUCCCUUACUUAGCUUAGAACUUUAAAAAACCCACCUUAAAAUAAUUCAACAAUAUAUAUAUAUAUAUAUAUAAUGGGAGCCAAAAUGCAUCCCCUUUACUUCAAACUCAAGAAUGUGGAUUUCUAUCUUAACUUACAAUCAAAACUCAUUUCUUGAUAUUCUUUCAAAAUUACUAACAUCUCAUUCUCAAACUCAUUCUUUAACCAUAAGGUUCAAUUCACAACAAUAGAACUUGAAAUUCUCAAAACGUGGUAUAGACGUGGAAUUAUGCAACUUAAACCAUAAAUUGACAAUUUAAACCAUUAAUAUGUAUAACAAUAUUACAACUCAAAGCUUGGGUAAGACAUAGUUUCAUGAAAAAACUCACAAUAUAAUAACAUGAUAGGAAUUCUCCAUGAAUUUACGAAAUACUUUACGAAAAUAUGUAACUCUUGGGCACAAGAACAAAAGGGUGUUCUUGUUCAAAACCACAUACCUUAAACUUGGAACUUUUGGAUGACUUCAAAAAUUCUGGAAGGUUAUUCAUGAACUAUUGGGUGUCCCUUGUAGCCCUCUUAACAGGGAAUUUAAAUAUGCGAGAAUUUUCGAAUUCUCACGGUUGAAUCUCUAGAUAAUUGGGUUUUUAUGUUGAAAACAUAACCUUGUGGUUGAAGGUGUGCAGAGAAUUUUGAGAUGUUUAACUAAAGAGAAUGGAAUAUAAUGCGCUCUUUGAGGGUUAUAAGUCGUGGGAAGUGAAGGAAAAAGACCAAAAUAACCUUACUAAACCGCUUAUCAGUUGCUGAAAAUCUAAGGCUGACGACAUUUGUGAUAGGCCGUCAGACUUAAGAUAAGUCAUCACAAAUGUCAUCACUGGGGGGAUGGAAUUGAUGGAUUUCUUCCUAAGGCUGACGACAUUCGUGAUAAGUUAUCACACUUGUGAUAACUUAUCAGAAAUGUCGACACUGGGUGUUGGAUUCUGCCUAAGGCUGACGACAUUCGUGAUAAGUCGUCACACUUGUGAUAACUUAUCAAAAAUGUUGUCACUGGGGGCUGUAUUCUGCCUAAGGCUGACGACAUUCGUGAUAAGUCACCACACUUGUGAUAAGUUAUCACAAAUGUCGUCACUCAGUUUUCUAGGCUGACUUGCUUGAGUAAAAUGGGCAUAACUUCUUGCUCCGGUAUCGAAUUUAGGCGAAAUUGGUAUUGUUGGAAAACUAAUUCAAUUAUCUAUCUAUUGGUGGGUCAUGAGCUAAUAAAUUCAUAGUAUAAAGAGAGAUAUGCUCAUUUGAAGUUGACUAUAUCAAUGUCCUUCUCAAGAAUUCAAUCGGCAAGGAAUGUUUAGAUUUGUUUAAUAGAUAGGACACUAUUGGGGCCUUAAUACUCAUCAAACUAGAUCAUGUAACUACCAAAUCACUAAAUUUAUUUCUAAAGAUCUUGAAGCAGCGUUCUACUAUUAUUUGAAAUUCUCAGGGUAUUACAAUAUCUCCCCCUUGGAAACUUUCAUCCUCGAAUGUCACUAGUUAAGCUAGGAAUGCAAAGAAACUGAGGAUGCACAAUUGGAAUAGUUCUAUAAAUUGAAUCUAUGUCAUUCUAAACUGUCAGGUAUUUUUGAGAGUGCACAAAUUUGCAACAAAAUAGCUAUAUAGCUGAAGCUUUGGUUAGAUAGGGGAUGAAUUAAGAAAAAGUAAUACCUUCGGCUUGCUCUGAACUUAUGAAGAAGAGUUGUGGGUACUUGGAUCGCAUAUCUGCUUCAGCUUCCCAAGUAGCACCCUCAACUGAUUGGUUCCGCCAUAAAACUUUGACCAAUGGAACUUCUUUGUUCCUUAGUCUAUGGAAUUGGUAAUCUAGGAUAUCAACUGGAACCUCAUCAAAUGAAAGGUAAUUCUGAACAUCUAAGCUAUCUGAAGAAUCAACAAUGAUAGAAUCACCAAUAUGCUUCUUAAGCAUGGAAAUAUGGAAAAUAGGAUGAACAGCUGAUAACUCUGCAGGAAACUCAACUUUAUAGGCUGCUUUCCCAACACGACUGAGAAUUCUGUAAGGGCCAACGUAAUGGGGACUAAGUUUCUCCUUUUUCCCAAACCUUUUCACCCCUUUCAUGGGCAAAAUUUUCAGAUACACCAAAUCAUUAACUUCGAACUCAAGGUCUUUUCGUCUUACAUCUGCAUAUGACUUUUGACGACUCUGAGCUGUCUUUAACUUUUUUCUAAUCAACUUCACCUUCUCCAUCACCUCAAAUACUGCAUCAGGUCCAACCAAAGUACCUUCACCCACUUUGAACCAACCUAUGGGUGACCUACAUCUCCUACCAUAUAAAGCCUCAAAUGGUGCCAUCUUGAUACUAGCAUGGUAACUAUUGUUGUAAGCAAACUCUAUCAGCGGCAAAUACUCAUCCCAACUACCUUUGAAAUCAAGGGCACACGCUCUCAACAUGUCCUCCAAAGUUUGGAUAGUCCUCUCAGCCUGACAAUCGGUCUGUGGAUGAACAGCAAAACUCAUAUGAACUUAGGUACUAAGACCCUUCUGAAACACUCUCCAGAACUGAGAAGUGAACUCAGUACCCCUAUCCGAAAUGACAGACAAGGGAACUCCAUGCAGCCUGACCAACUCCCGAAUAUACAAUCUAGCAUAGUCCUCAGCUGUAUAAGGUGUGUGCAUAGGCAAGAAAUGCGCUAACUUAGUCAGCCUGUCAACAACAACCCAGAUGGAAUCAUCAUGGCAUUGGGAAAGAGGUAAGCCAGUCAUAAAAUCCAUAUUUAUCUCUUCCCACUUCCAAGUUGGGAUACCAAACUCUUGUAUCACACCACCAGGUCUUUGGUGCUCAACCUUAACCUAUUGACAUAUUGCACACUUUGCCACAAAAUUAUCUAUAUCCCUCUUCAUACCACACCACCAAUAGAUGUCCCACAAGUCACGGUACAUCUUGGUAGUGCCGGGAUGAAUAGAAUACCGUGCACCAUGCGCUUCAUCCAUAAUUCUCUGCCUCAAAUCACCAAUAUUAGGAACACAUAAUCUACCCAGCAACCACAACACACCAUCUCCCCCUUGAGAGAAUACCUCUACCUUUUGUUCCUUAACUGACUCCUUCAGUUUGACCAAGCUAGCAUCUAAGUCUUGCUUCUCCUUCACUUUCGAAACCAAAGAAGAUUCGGAACUACUCUGUACUAACAUAUUUCCCUCAGCGGAAUCAAGCAACAUAACACCCAGUCUAGCCAGUCGAUGCACAUCACGAGCCAAAUCUUUCUUACCUUCCUCCAUAUGUGAAACACUACCCAUAGACAUCAUGCUAAGGGCAUCUUCCACAACAUUGGCCUUGCCCAAAUGAUACAAAACGCUCAUAUCAUAGUCUUUUAAUAAUUCUAACCACCUCCGCUGCCUAAGAUUCAACUCCUUUUGAGUCAACACAUGCUGCAGGCUUUUGUGAUCAGUAAAAAUAUCAACAUGCACAUCGUACAAAUAAUGUCUCCAGAUUUUCAGAGCAAACACUACAGCAGCUAACUCUAAGUAAUGGGUUGGGUAAUUCUUCUCGUGAGGUUUCAACUGUCUAGAAGCGUAGGCUAUAGCUUUACCCCUCUGCAUCAAAACACAAUCCAAACAAAUUCUCAAAGCAUCACAGUAUACCACAAAACCAUUUACACCAUAAGGCAAAGCCAACACAAGGGCGGAAGUGAGUCGAGUCUUCAACUCUUGAAAACUCUUCUCACAGGAAUCCGACCAGAGGAACUUAACUUUCUUUUGGGUCAACCGAGAUAUGGGAGACGCAAUAGAAGAGAACCCUUCAAUGAAACGGCGGUAAUAGCCAGCUAGACCCAAGAAGACAGAGAGAUAGGCCUAGGAUAAUUUCUUAUAGCCUCUAUAUUUUGAGGAUCAACUCUAAUACCUUCGGCUGAAAUAAUAUGACCCAAAAAUGCUACAGACCUUAGCCAAAACUCACACUUACUGAAUUUGGCGAACAACUUAUGUUCUCUAAGAGUUUGCAAGACGAUUAUAAGAUGGUCUGCGUGUUCACCCUCACUUUGGGAAUACAUAAGGAUGUCGUCAAUAAACACAAUGACAAAUAUAUCAAGAUAUGGCUUAAACAGUCGAUUCAUCAGGUCCAUGAAAGCUGCUGGGGUGUUAGUUAGCCCAAAAGAUAUAACAAAAAACUCAAAAUGACCAUAGUGGGUUCGAAAUGCUAUCUUCGGGAUAUCACACUCCCUUACUAUAAGUUGGUGAUAACCUUAUCUAAGGUCUAUCUUAGAGAAAUAACUCGCACUUUACAACUGAUCAAACAAAUCAUCUAUUCUCGGAAGAGGGUACUUAUUCUUGAUUAUGACCUUAUUAAGCUGAAGAUAGUCAAUGCACAUACGAAAAGAACCAUCUUUCUUUCGCACAAAAAGGAUAGGUGCGCCCUAAAGAGAUAUACUGGGCCUUAUAAAACCUUUGUCUAAGAGAUCUUUAAGUUGUUCUUUCAACUCUUUAAGCUCUGCAGGUGCCAUACGGUAGGGAGGAAUGGAAAUAGGCUGAGUGUCGAGAAAAAAAUCGAUCCCAAAUUCUAUCUCUCUAUCGGGUGGUGCCCCUGGGAGAUCUUCCAGAAAGACACCAGGAAACUCAUUGACAAUGUUGAUUGAAUGGAUACUUGGGGUUUCAGAGUUAGUGUCCUUAACUCUAACUAAGUGAUAAAAGUAACCCUUAGAUAUAAGCUUCCUGGCUUUGAGAUAAGAAAUAAAACGACUUUUAGGAGGUACUGAACUCCCUGGCCACUCAAAAACUGGGUCAUUAGGAAACUAAAAUUUGACUACAAGAGUAUGACAAUCUAUAGAUCCAUAGCAGGAGUGAGCUAGUCCAUACCCAGGAUAACAUCAAAAUCAACCAUCUCUAACUUUAUCAAAUCAGCAAGUGUGACUCUAUGAAAGACUAUAACAGGACAAUUCUUGUAUACUUGCUUAGCAAUAACAGACUCCCCUACUGGAGUAGAAACUAGAAUUCGCUCAAAAAUACUUUCAGGACUCUUCUCAAAAUUCACAGCAACCAGUGGGGUAACAUAAGAAAAACGUGACCCGAGGUCCAAUAGCACAUAAACAUCAAAGUGAAAUACACGAAGCAUACCAAUAACAACAUCGGGAUAGUCCUCUUGCUCAUGAUGGAAAGGUAGGGCAUAGAACCUGUUUUGGUGCUAACCGCCAGCAGUACUAGAAAAAGUGCCCUGAGAAGGAGCUAAAUGGGAUACGAAAGCUGGUGCACUAGUGGCUUCGAUUUGGGGUCGGGUAUCUCUGCUUCCCUGCCUGGCAUGUGGGCACUCUCUAAGCCUGUGGCCUAUCUUUCCACACCCGAAACAACCACGCUGUUCAUCCAAACACCCAGAUGGAUCCUACCAUACUUGGCACAAGGAGGAAAGUUGGGCUUGCUGCUCACACUCUGCUAAGGCCUGGACAUAGAAGACUUGUUUCCCUACUCUGGCCUAUCUCUAGGCACUAGGGCACUAGCAGAUGAGGGUGCUAGCAUAAAAGAACAACUCUGGAACUGAGGUCGGUUCCCUCCCUGUGAUCUAGCCUGAUCGUACUUGUAUUGUUCAUACAUGGCUCUCUUAUUACCUCUCACUCUAUCUCUUUCUCAUAUCUUAUUCUCCUUUAUUUGCUACGUAUAGAUCAUGAGCCUAGACAAAUCCAUCUCCUUGUUCAAUAUAGUAGUACAGCAUUCUUUCAGUACUAAGCCUGACACACCUGUCACAAACUUUCUCAUACCAGUUCGGGUGUCAGAGAUCAAGUCAGGCGUAGAUUAAGCAGUACUCCUUAACAGUCAUGGAGCCCUGCCUCAAGUUCAUAAAUUCUUCAAUCUCUGUCUCCUUUAACUCCAAAGGAAAGAACCUAUCCAAGAAUGUAUCUUGGAAUAUCUGCCAGGUAAUGGGAGCAUCGUCCUUCCCUCUACCCUUCCUCCAAAAAACCGCCCAGUCAUACACAAUGUCCUUCAACCUGUAAGAUGCUAACUCCACACACUUUUCUUUAGACACACGCAUUACCUGUGUGAUCUUUCUUAUCUCCUCAAGAUAUAACUAUGGGUCUUCCUCUACCUUUGACCCAUAAAACUCUGGCGGACUCAUCCGUAUAAAGUCACGAAUUCUGGCAGCAGCUAAGUCACGAAUUCUGGCAGCAGCUAAGUCACCUCCCUGCUGCUAAGGAGCUUUGGACUGAUUGUCCUGGAUAGUGACAGCUUGGGCCAGUGCCUGGAAGGCUGCCCUGAAUUCGGCAUGGGACACAUUUUCAUUCAGAGGAUCAGCGGGCUGAGGUUGCUGAUCAUUGUUAUUUCUUCGAGCUUGGCGGGGAGGCUUAUUCUGAUGAUUAUUUUAAUUGGACACUCCCCCAUAUGUUCAGUAAAUUCCUAAAGUACUUACCCAUAUACUUUGUCUGUGUGCCAUAUAUUCUCGUAAUAUGGGUUCAGGUGAUCAGUCUCAUCCUCACUAGUGAUCCUUUUGAGCACUCCUAUCUACAUAUCAGCCGUGGAGAGUCCUCAUAUUUUGGGGACCGGUUAUUCUCAUACUUCUAGUUUUAUUUAGUUACUGUUUAAUUUUUGUCUAUAUGGGUCCAGGAUUAGGAAAUUCCAAGUACCCUUCGCUCUCCAUGAUACAUAAAUACAAGUGUACUUAGGGGAUUCCCAUGUACCCCGUAAGUAUUAUAUAUAGUCGCCAUGACCAAUCCUCACAUCAAACAUAAGUUUCCAGUGUCCGUCCAUUGGACUCAUACCUUCAUGAUUAGCUAUCACACCCACCAUUAUUGCCAAAUUAAAACCAUUACCACUCAACCAAACCACCAAUCAAUUUAUUAUUAACCAAGUCUAUGUAGCCGUUUGGUCAUGAAAACUAAAAUUUUCUGGAGUUGGAGUUGGAGUUGAAGUUGGAGUUGAACUUGGAGUUGAAGUUAUGUUUGGCCAUGUCUUUUUUGAAUUUUUUUUUUUUUACUUUUGAAAAAGCUUUUUUAAAUAUGAUUUUAUGCCCCAACUUUUACAAACUAUCAAAAUCACCCAACUAAAAUUUACCUACUAACGGGAAAAAAUACAAUUAGCCACUUUUAUAAAAAUAAUUACAUAUACAUGGCCAUAUUUAAUGAAUUUCAAUUAUGACAUAUAUAAUAUUUACAGUAAUAGCCGUUUUCUCAUAUUUGAAAAUUUUAAAUAUGGAUGUUACUUUUGAAGGGGAGCCUUGGAGUAACUGGUAAAGUUGUUGCGAUGUGACUAGGAGGUCAUGGGUUCAAGCCUUGGAAAUAGCCUCUAGCAGAAAUGCAAGGUAAGGCUGCGUACGAUACACCCUUGUGGUGGGGUCCUUUUCUGGACACCGCGUAUAGCGGUAGCUUUAGUGCACCGAGCUUCCCUUUUUUUAAUAUUAACAGAUCACUGUUUUCAAUUUUUUAGGUAACAAAUAUUAUCUUUCAAACAAAUUUAUUUUCUAGAAAUUUAUUUAAUUUAUUUCUUUUCUUUUUCUUUCCUAAAAAAUAGGAAAUGAUAAGUUGUUAUUAAAUUUUAGGGUGCCGCUAAUUUCUUUCUUUAAUUUUUUUAUACAUAAAAGAUUUUACUGUGUGUGAAUAAAUUAUUUCUAUGAAAAAAAUACUUUGCAUAUUUAUGGUAUAUUAUAUCAUAUACCAUAAAUAUAUAAAUAUGCUUAGUAUGUUUCUUUAUACUUUGUAUAUUUAUAUAUGUGUGUAUAUGGUAUAUACAUGGUAUAAACAUCAUAUAUAACAUACUUUGUAUAUUUAUGUUAUAAAUAUGCUUAGUAUGUUUCUUAAUCCUUUGUAUAUUUAUACAUGUGUGUCUAUGUUAUAUACAUGGUAUAAACUUUAUAUAUAACAUACUUUGUAUAUUUCUUUUAUAAAUAUAAUACUUUAUAUAUUUAUGGGUAUAAAUAAAAUACUUUGUGUAUAAAGAUACCAAGUAUUAUGGUAUAUAAAGAUAGCAGUUGCAGUUUACAGUAUAAAUUUGUUAAAUUGGACAUAUUUUUUUAUAAAAAAUAUGUAUCACCGAUUUAUAUUUUUAGCAUAUAUAUGGUAUAAACUAUUUAUAUUUGAAUAGUAUAAUAAAGAUGCACACAAUAUAAUAUAUAUAAUCAAAUUAAAAAUGAGAAUAAUUUGUGGCAGUGGUAAAUUAAUUUGCUACAACUUUAUUAAUUCCAUAAAUAUAGAAAAUGAUUAUCCAUUAUUCAUUACACGACUAUAAUUCAUUAAACAUCCGUAUCACAACAGAAAAAAUAUUAUUAUUAUUAUAUUAUAGUAAUUAGGAUCAUUAGUAGUAAAAUAAGGGAGAAAAUUAAAUAAGGGAGAAAAAUAAUGAUGAGAGAGAAAAAGAGAUAUAUAUUAAUUAGGAUAGCACUAAGUUUGAAAUUAUUAUUAUUUUAUUCUUUACAACUGCUAUAUACGUAAUAUUGAAAAAGUAAUGUUAUAAGGAGAGUUUUAUGUAAAAUUUUAAAAGAUUGGGAUUAUAUGUAAUAAUAAUAAAAGUUGAAAUUGGAGUUGGAAAAUUGUGAAAAAACCAAAAACCUAUUUUCCCUUUUUAGAAAAUUUCCAAAAUUAUUUUUCGAAUUUUCAUGGCCAAACACCACAAUUUCCAACUUCGGAAAAAUUUUCCAAAAAAAAAAAGAGAAAAAAAUUCAUGGCCAAACGGACCCUAUAAGUAGUGGUAGCAUCAUACCGACUAUAACUUACAAUCAAUGUCCUUAGCCAACCUUUAAUAGAAUAAGGAAUUCUCAUGUACCCAUAGAUUACAUUAUUAAGUAGACUUGGGGGAAUCCCAUGUACCCCACAAGUGAUCAUUAUUAUGUUUGCUUGGGGGAUUCCCUUAUACCCCACAAGGUUUUCAAUAAAACCAUCCAUAACCACCAAGGCCUUACCAUUUAACCAUUUCAAAUCAUUUAAAUCAUUUAUUCCAUUCCAAAUCAUUUAAAUCAUUUAUACCAUUUAGAGUUCCAUUACCAAGUUAUACCAUUCAAUAGUUCAAUAAAAGUCUAAUAAUUUAAUCGAAAACAUUCUCAUAGGUAUUUUAUCAAAGAUGUUGGGGCAUAGUAUUUCCAAAGCCAAAACCAAUUACCAAUUAAUGAUUCCCAUGCAACCAAAUGUCAAAACCAUCAUUAAAACAUGUAAAUCCAUAAUUAAAACAUGGAAAAACCAUAACGAAGCAUUUAUAACCAAAAACCCCAACAUAUAUUUGAAAACCCAAAACCAUACAACAAUUAUGCCAUGAAAACAAUUCAUAAAUCAUGCCUUUAGUUGGAACUAACAAUGGGGGAGGAGUAACAUGUCUUAUAUUGAGAAGAUAAUGGAGAGAAAUCACCAUUGUAAGUCCAAAUUUGCUCCUAUUGAUGUAAACCCUACCUUCCUUAACCCAAGAGCCUUAGAGAGAAUUUGAGAGAGUCUCUAAGUGUUUAGAUUAGAAUAUUAGGGUAAAUAAUGUCCCAAAAGAGUUAUAAGUCAUGGGGCCUUAAGAGGUUAAGAGGGAAAAUAUCCAGAUUACCCGCAACUUAAACUGCAUAAAAAUCUCGCAGAAGGGUACAACUCCACCAUACCACCUGUACCCUAUCAUACGAGUGGUGGGUACCACUCAUACCCUAGGCAUACCUUGGACCCCCAACAAUGGCCCACAUACAACCACCAAGGCUUAAUCCUACCCAAGUAUACGAUAUGUAACUUUAACUCAUACCUUAGGUAGAAUCAAGAGGGCUUGACACUGUCCAACAUACGAGUUGGACUAUCCCACUCAUACCUCAUCUCACGACUCAUGGUGAGCCAAUUAUACUCAUAUUCAAGUUAAGUUACUAAGUUUCAUACUAAGUAAAGGAAAACCCAACCCUAUGAUCCAUCACCCACUAUACGACUCGUACCUACCCAAGUCGUACCUAUUAUAAAAACUAAACCACCCACACCACCAACACUGGACAACAUACGAUAGGGUCACCUGACCUAUACCAUCACCAUACGACUAGUAUGGUGAGUUGUAUGUUGUACAGAAAUUCCAAAACCCAGGAAAAUUCUACGGACCAAAACCCUGGGUGUUUUAGUCUUUCCUACUCAGAUCAUUCAUCCCCGAAUGAUGGGCAAGGCAUUACAAGCAUAAGAUACACCCCAACAUAACUAUUCCAACCCUUAACUAAGAUAGAAAAUAAAGAUGCAAGGAAAUCAACCUUUUCUUUAAUCAAGUAAGAAAACAAAGAUAUGAUCAAGAACACAUACCUUCCAUACGAAUAUCCGGAGGAAAAAAUAAAUGUGGAUACUUGGACUUCAUAUCCUCUUCUUCUUCCUAAUUAGCUUCUUCCACCCUAUGGUUUUUCCAUAAAACCUUAACCAAAGCUACUUCCUUGGUCCACAACCGAUAAACCUGUCGAUCCAAGAUCUCUUAAUAAGAUAGAGAAUCCGAGAUUCCUAAUCCUUCCAAAGGAGCAACCGGUGAAGGAUCACCUAUACAUUUUCUCAACAUGGAGACAUAGAAUACUGGAUGAAUGGAGCUCAAACUAGAAGGCAACUUCAAUUCAUACGCAACAUUACCAACUCUCCUCAAAACCACAAAGCACCAACAUACCAUGGACUGAGCUUCCCUAUUUUCCUAAACCGCAUUACUCCCUUCAUGGUAAAUACCUUUAGAAAUACCUUAUCCCCAACCUCAAACUCCAAUCCCCUAUGCCUUACAUCCACAUAGGACUUUUGGCGACUUUGGGAAGCCUUAAGACUAUCCCGAAUAACCAUCACCUUCUCCAUAGCCUGAUAAACUAAAUCCAGGCCAAACAUAUUUGCAUCACCAAGCUCGAACCACUUAAUAGGAGAUCUAUACCACCUACCAUACAAUGCUUCAAAAGAGGUCAUCCCAAUGCUAGAAUGAUAGUUAUUAUUGUAAGCAAACUCAAUAAGAGGUAAAUGACCAACCCAAUUACCACUAUAAUCAAGCACACAUGUACAAAGCAUAUCUUAUAAUGUCUAAAUAGUCCUUUAUACUUGCCCAUCCAUCUGUGGGUGAAAAAAAGUACUUAGGCUAACCUUAGUACCUAACCCCUUCGGAAACAAUCAUCAAAAGUGAGAUGAAAACUGCAUACCACGAUUAGAGAUAAUAAAAACUGGUACACCAUACAGCUUUACAAUCUCAUAAAGAUACAACCUCGCAUAAUCCUCAGCCGAAAAAUUAGUCCUCACUGGAAAGAAAUGAUCUGACUUUGUCAUCCUAUCCAUGAUGAUCCAAACAGAAUCAAAUUGGUUCCGAGAUCGAGAAAGACCAUUAAUGAAAUCCAUAUUGAUCACUUACCAUUUUUAUUCAGACAAUUCAAACUCCUGAUACAAGCCUCCAAGCCUCAUGUGCUCAACUUUCACUUAUUGACACACUAAAUACUUGUCCACAAAAUUGGCCACAUCCUUCUUCGUACCAUUACAUCAAUAUAUUUCCCUAAGAUCAUGAUAUAUCUUUGUCGAAUCAGGAUGAACAACAUAGUGUGAUUCAUGUGACUAAGCCAAUACCCUUUCUCACAAACCAUCGACAUCAGUAACACACAAUCUCUCUUGGUACCGCAAGGUACCAUCACCACUGAUCUCAAAUACAAUUGUCUUUUUCCCACCUACAUCACCCUUGAUUUUCACCAAGAUAGGAUCCAGUAUUUUCUUCUUCUUGAUUUCUACACCAAGAGACGACCGAACCACUUCCUGUACCAAUACACCACCAUUCUCGAAAUCAAAAAGGUGAAUUCCAAGAUUAGCCAAGCAGUGAAUAUAUUUCACCAACUCUCGCCUCUUCUUAUCCACAUACGCUAAACUCCUCAUAGACAACCUGUUAAGAGCAUCAGCAACAAUAAUAGCCUUACUUGGAUGGUAGUAAAGACUCAUGUCAUAGUCCUUGAGAAGCUUAAGCCAUCUCCUUUUCCUAAGAUUAAGAUCUUUUUGAGUGAACACAUACUAUAGACUCUUAUGAUCAAAAAAGAUAUCCACGUGCGCUCUAUAUAGUUAGUGCUGCCAGAUUUUCAACACAAACACCAUCGCUAAAAGCUCCAAGUUAUGAUUAGGAUAGUUCUUCUUAUAUACCUUCAACUACCUAGAAGCAUAGGCAAUAACCUUCCUAUGUUGCAUCAAAAAACAAGCAAGUCCCACCUGAGAUGCAUCACGAUAAACUACAAACCCCUCAUUGCCUUCAGGCAAAGUCAAAACCAGAGCCAAAGUUAGCUUAUCCUUCAUCUUCUUGAAACUACCCUCACAAGAAUCAGACCAAGAGAACUUUACCUUCUUUUGAUACAAUUUAGUUAAUGGGGCAUCUAUUAUCGAGAAACUCUCCACAAACCUCCUAUAGUACCCAGCCAAACCCAAGAAGCUCCGAAUGUCAAUUGAAGUCAUGGGUCUAGGCUACUUUUUAACCACCACCACCUUUUGUGCAUCCACUAUGAUCUCCUUACUAAAAAUAAUAUGACCUAAAAAAGUGAUACGUUCAACCAAAAUUCAUAUUUUGAGAAUUUGGCAUACAACUGUUGCUCUUUCAAGGUCUGCAACACACACGAAGGUGAUUAGAAUGAUCCACCUCACUCUUAGGGUACAUCAAAAUAUCAUUGAUGAACACAAUGACAAAUAAAUCCAGAAACUAAUGGAAGACCCUGUUCAUCAAAUCCAUGAAUGCCAUUAGGGCAUUGGUUAAACCAAAUUACAUAACAAAGAACUCAAAGUGCUCAUACCGGGUACGGAAAGUUAUCGUAGAGAUAUCCAACUCCCUAAUCUUAAGCUGAUGAUACCUAGAUAGAAGACCUAUCUUAGAAAAGAAUUUGGCACCUUGCAACUGAUCAAACAAGUUAUCUAUCCUUGGAAGAGGAUACUUUUCUUAACCGUCACCUUAUUCAACUGUCGAUAGUCAAUAAACAUCCAAAGGGAACCAUUUUUUAUGCACGAAUAACAUCGGUGUACCUCAUGGGAUACACUAGGAUGGAUGAAACCCUUAUCCAAAAGAUCCUUAAGUUCCCUCAACUCAAUCAAAUCAUCCUAUAAGGAGGAAUAGAUAUUGGACGAGUGUCCAAAACCAAAUCAAUCCCAAACAUAAUUUCCCUAUCUAGAGAAAUACCAGGAAGCUCGUCAGGAAACUUAUUUACCAUCAGAACAGAAUGCAAAAAUAGACCUUUGAGAUAGAGUCUUUAAACCAGACCAAAUGAUAGAGACACCCUUUGGAUAUUAACCUCUAAACUCUAAGAUACGAUAUAAGCUUCCUUUUAGGAGCUAGGGAACCAUACCCCUUCCCUUAUAAUCGGCUCAUCGAGAAACCUAAAGACAGCCUUAUGAGUUCAAUAAUCUAGGGACAUGUAGCACAAGUGUAACCAAUCCAUCCCCAGAAUAACCUCAAAAUCCAUCAUAUCUAAUUCAUAUAAAUCCACCAAGGUCUCCUUACUGCCAACAGAUACCACACACACCUUAUAGACUAUUUAGCAACCACAUAGUCACCUAUCAGCUAGAAAUAGGAAAAGGAUCCAAAAUAAUCUCAAGAUCAAAACCAAAAUACACAGCCAUAAAUAAGGUCACAUAAGAGAGUGUGGACCCCCGAAUCAAGUAAAUAAUACAGGUCACAAGAAAAAUGUUAUAACAUACCAGUCAUGACAUCAGGUGAUGCCUCAGACUCCUAUUGGGACCCAAGUGUAUAUAACCUAUUUUGGUAUAUGUCGGUAUCAGAAAAAGAAAUAAAUAAAGAAGCAGCACUCAUGGGUGCAGGAGCAAAUAAAGAGGCAACCGGAACCUUGUUCGUUCCUGAAGUAAACUUCCCAAUCAGAUAGUUUUAAGGCAUAUAUCCUGGCUAAGAAUAGUUAAAAUACCUAUCCCUCCUCUCAUCACAGAAGCCUUGAUGUAAUCGAUCACAGGACCUAUAAGAAGGAUAUGAUGAGGCUGACUGAGCCCCACUAGCCUGAGAUUGGGAAUUUUGUGCUCUAAAUUUAUCGCCACCUUAAACGCCCAUCACCCAACUGCUAUGGGUAAGGAGCACUAGCUGUGGACAAAGAACCAAAACUACCCACCCCACUUCUUCUUUUUCCACUUACCACCAUCCCGACCACGUUGUUAUUGACAACCCUGCUUAAAGAACCUAAACUUCUUAUCCUACCUUUCACCUACUUCAGCUUGCUUUCUCUUUUUCUCUUCCUCGUGUUGUAUAUGAAUAACCAACCAAAAUAUCCAUGUCCUUAAUCAGCAAUGCAGUCUAGCUUUCAAGGAUCAACUCAUGAGACAGUCCUGAAGAGAACUUUCUCAUCUUAUCCCUCUUAUCAAACACCAAUUUCGAAGCAUACCUAAAAAACUAGUGAAAUUUCAAGGCAUAUUCCUUGACUUACAUCUUUCCCUAUUUUAGAUAACAAAUUUUUUCCCCUUUGCUUCUCUCAACUUCUGAGGAAAGAAGUGUUCCAGAAAAGCAUUAUAUAAAGACUCACACAGAGAACACUCAUCAACCUCACCCUUUGCCUGCUCCCAUUCCUCGUACCAUUAGUAUGCCACAUUCUUUAGCUGAUAGACAGCAAAAUUUACCCCUUCCACAUUCAUGGCCUGUAUCACCAUGAUGAUCUUUUCCAUUUCAUCCAGAAAACCUUAUGAAUCUUCCUCUAUCUUAACACUAGUAAAAGUAGGAGGAUUCAACUUCAGAUAUUGGCUAACCCUUGUGUCCUCAGAAGAUACGAUACCAUAUGCACUAUGCUCAGUUUGAGAAACUAGAAAUUAAGCUAUCACAUGAAUCAACUGACAAAACUCUGUAUUUAUCACAUCUGCCUGAAGAGCCUGAGGAGGACUAGAAGGAACCCGUGGAACUCUAGAAAUAUUAGUAACUGGACCCCUAGAUAGAUUAGGGAUCCCCUAAGUAGUGUGUGUCCCAUCAACAUUGUCCCCGAUUGAGAUAGGGGAGUUUUUAUGAACUUCAAAUCAUCGAGGCAUAAACUAAAAUAUUAACAAAUAAAAUCAGAAGAGAUUUCAAGACAUAGAAUCCAAUCUUGAAAAUAGAACACAGAGAAGAGAAACAUUUCCUAAAUUUCUUGUAGUCUCUCUCUUGUGAGUUAGCAUUCUAUAGACCCUUAAAAGAGACUCUACUCAACACGACUUUGUGGACUAUCAAUUGACCACGAACCUAGAGCUUAGAUACCAACUUUACAUAACCCAAACUAUGGUCUUAUCAUAAUAGCCAUCCAAAGUCUAACCAAGAUCGAAGACCACCCCUGUUUCCCAACCCAACCUCUAAAUAUACAUACCCUUAUUACAAGAUAACAUUUAUUACAAUUCUCGUCUCUGGGAUAGGUCCAUGACCGUGACCAACCCGAAUGAGUCCAACCAUCCAUUAUCCAACUAAUAACCAAAACCAAAACAAAAUCAUAAAGCAAUCCAUACAUCCCAUACCAAAUGAGUUCCGUUAUAUAUAUAUAUGUAAUCCCAACACAUAAAUGGAUGGAACAAUCAUAAAUAUAGUCAAACAGUAUCAGCCCCAAUACCAAUGCCAAUUCUAAGGCUGACACCGCUACCGACACCGCCCAUACACACCCAUAGUAGUUCUACAAAGCCUCUAACCGAAAGUAAAAUAAUAUUCGGUUGGGACAUGCCCCUAACCAUAGCCAAAACUAAUGUCAAUAAAAUGACAAAAGUAUGUAAAGACAUCCAGGACAUAAAAUGGAGCCUUUCAGAAUAUGGAAGCUCACCAAUUCAAUCCAGCCGUGCUGAUCCUAAAUCUGAUUACUAAGUAGGAGGAGUAGAAUGGUUUGUUCCUACAUCAUGUAGGGAUACAGCCGCUCGAGGAUGGAUUAGCAGGUGAACUCUAGCAUGCACUCAGGUUAAGGACAAAAUAAUGCCAACCUUUAAAACCAAGUAAACCAACCAUAUAAAUUCAUAACCAUACAUAUAUAUAUAACCAUGCUAGGAGAGGGAACUGGGUUUAGCAUAAAUUUAAAACCAUUAACCUAGGUAUGUGUAGCUUAAACAUCCUAGAACCAUCCACGGGCUAUAUAGGUCUAGUGUAACCCCUUGAACGGGCCCUCAUACAUGUAACCUCAUGAACUAAAGAUACCAUAGGAGUAGAAGAUUCCCAAGUACCCUUUGCUCUCUAUGGCACUUAUGUACAAAUGUACUUAAGGGAUUCUCAUGUACCAUGUAGGUAUCAUAUAUAGUCUCCAUGAACAAUCCUCAUGUCGAAAACAUAAGUUUCCAUUGUCCAUCCAUUAGACUCACACCUUCACGGUUAGCUAUCACAUCCAGCCAUUAUUAACCAAUUAAAACCAUUACCAUACAACCAAACCACCAUUCUAUUUAUUAUUAACCAAGGUUAUAAGUAGUGGUAGUGUCAUACCAACUAUAACUUACAAGCAAUGUCCUUAGCCAACCUUUUAUAGAAGAAGGGAUUCCCAUGUACCCAUAGAUUACAUUAUUAAGUUGACUUGGGGGAAUCCCAUGUACCCCACAAGUGAUCAUUUUAUGUUUGGUUGGGGGAUUCCCUUAUAUCUGACAAGAAUUUUAAUUAGACCAAACAUAACCACCAAGACCUUACCAUUUAACCAUUCCAAACCAUUUAGACCAUUUAGGGUUUCAUUACCAAGUUAUACCAUGCAAUAGUUCAAUAAAUUUCCAACAAUUUAAACAAAAACAUUCUCAUAGAUAUUUUAUUAAACAUCUUGGAGGCAUAGUAUUUCCAAAGCCAAAACCAAUUACCAAUGAACCAUUCCCAUACAACCAAAUGUCCAAACCACCAUUAAAACAUAUAAAUCUAUACAUAAAACAUGGGAAAACCAUAACCAAACAUUUAUAACAAAAUCCCCAACAUAUAUUUGAAAACUCAAAUCUAUACAAUAAUUAUGCCAUGAAAACAAUUCAUAAAACAUUUCUUUAGUUAGAACUAACAAUGAGGGAGGAGUAACAUGCCUUAGAUUAAGAAGAUGAUGGAGAAAUCACCCUUGCAAGUCUGAAUUUGCUCCUAUUGAUGAAACCCUAGCCUUCCUUAAUUGAAGAUACUUAGAGAGAAUUUGAGAGAGUUUCUAAGUGUUUAAGAUUAGAAUAUUGGGGUAAAUAUUGUCCCAAAGAGUUAUAAGUUAUCGGAUCUUAAGAAGUUAAGAGAUAAAAUGUCCAGAUUACCCAACUUAAACUGCAUAAAAAACCCGCAGGAGGGUAUGACUCCACCAUACCACUCGUACCCUAUCAUAUGAGUGGUACCCACUACUCGCAUCCUAGGUAUCCCUUGGACCCCCAACACUGGACCACAUACAACCACCAAGCCCCAAUCGUAUCCAAGCAUACAAUACGUACCUUUAAGUCAUACCUUAGGCCAAAUCAAGAGGGGUUGAUGUUGUCCAACUUAUGAGUUGGACUAUACCACUCGUACCCCAUCUAUGACUCAUGGUGAGCCACUCGUACUCAGAUCUAAGUUAAGUUACUAAGUUUUAGACUGGGUGAAGGAAAAACCCAGUUGUACGACCCAUAACCCACCAUACAACUCGUACUAACCCAAGUCAUACCCAUUUUAGAAACUCAACCACCCAACACCACCAACACUAGACAACAUAUGACUACGUCACCUGACCUAUACCCUCACUAUACGACUAGUAUGGUGAGUUAUGUGAUGUUUAAAAAUUCUAAAACCCAAGAAAUUUCUAAGGACCAAAACCCAUGAUUUUUUAACUUCAGUUGUUCUUCAAAAUCUUCACCAAUCUGGUAGCCCAUCCACCACUCUAAAUUGUUAUCUGAAAUUAUGUAGUAUCGCUGGAUUCCUGAAUCUCCUCAAUAUUGAUUUACAAGAAGUAAUAUUAUUAUCAUAAAAGGGAAUGGGUUAGUGAAGAAAAUUGAUAGAUUCUAUUAAAUUUGUCCCAAUUUCAAAGGGAUAAAGGUUAUGAAUUUGUGCCAUGUUUAGACCCUCGUAGAUGGCUUCUAUCUCUACCAUAACAUGAUGGUGUGCAUUGCUUAUAUUAUAUAAUCCAAUAAUCCAAUGGCCUUGAUCGUUAUGAAUUAUGCCACUGAUGCCUUUUUAGCUGGGAGUAUUUAAAAAUGAGCCAUCGACAUUGUAUUUGAAAAUGACCCAUCGACAUUAAGUUUAAAGAAACUAGAUUUAGGAGGGAACCGUUUGGCGUUAAUGUAAAUACUAUUAAUUUGAUUACUAGGAAUACAGGCAUGAUUUAUGUACUCCUUGGUGUUCCUAUAAAUUAAAGAGGUACUAGGGAAGUUGUUUUUUUUAUCAAAAAUAUUUUGAUUUUGAUUAAUCCAGAUGUUUUAAAUCACAAAAGGAAAAAGGUCGAGCCACGUUGGGGAAUCCAUAUGAAAGGGAUAUUUAGAUUCUUAAGAACCUAAAGCUAGUGAUGGUUGGUCACAUCUAAGUAGGAGAUAUGAUAUCCAUGUCUAACUAAAAUUUUUUAGCUUUAUAGCAGUGAAUAAACACAUGAGAAACAAUUUUAGGUUCAACAUUGCAUAUAGGGCAGUUAGGAUUUGAACUUAAAUUAAUUAAUAGAGAUAGGCAGUCAUAGGGAUUCUCUCAUAAGAGUAAAGCCAAAGGAAGAGUUUGAUCUUCUUCAAUGUUCAUAGCUUCCAUAUCUAAGAAAAUUCAUACGUACAGGUAUUUUGAUUAGAAAGAGAACUAUAGACAUACAUACAGAUUUAAGAUUUAUCCCAUGUACCAAUGGAGUUAUUAGAACAAAUAGUGGUGGCUCAAAGGACAAUGUCAUUAGGAAUUUCAAAUAAGAUUUUCUCCAAUCCCAACCAGUUUUGUUCCAAAUAUCUGAGAAGCACAUGGCCUCUUCCUUUUGGUUAAGGGGGAUAUAUAGGAUGUAUCUUAAGGGAGGGGUCUCAGGAAUUCAAUGAUAAGUCCAAAGAUUAAUAAUUUUUCCCAUAGCUAGAUCCCAAGUAGUGGUUUUAUUACAUAUUGCUCUACACAAAAGGAUAUUUUUUUCAAGUAAAGAAAUGAGAGGAGGUGUUGUGAUGACCAAUAUAUUUAGAAGUAAGAGUAAGAUCCUAGAGAGAGGAGCCAUUGGUAAACAACCUCCAAAAGAGGCCUGUAAGGAGCUUUAUUUUUUUUCCCCAACUUUGGAGGCCAGGCCCUCAUUCACCCUAGGUGCGGUAAUAUUUUCCCACACAACAUAGUGAAUUUUUAUUUUAUGAGUAGUAGAACUCCAAAUAAAGUCCCUUUGUAUCUGAUCGAUGUAAUUGCAAAUUCUUGUGGGAAGUUUAAAAUAUUGUUAGUCUAUGUUGGGAUGACAUUACGGGUAGAUUUUGUGAGAACUACUCUACCUGCUUAAGAGAGAAAAUGGGUUUUCCAAGAGGAAAGCUUUUCCCUUACAUUAUCUAAAAUGAAUUGGAAGUCCUUACAUUUAGAUUUAUGGUUAAGGAUUGGGAACCCCAAGUAAUUUCUAAAAUGAUCAAAAGGAGAGAUAUUGAAAAGGUUUUUGAAAAGAGUAUGAUUAGAAGUAGGACAUGACAUAGAGAAGAUGGCCUUAGACUUGAUUUCAUUAAUAUUUAUUCCCGAAAAAGUGCAAGUGUCCCAUGCAGUUAAAAAUUGAAUAAUAGAUUUAUGGCUAGCUCUGGUGAUGUGGGUAAGAUUGUCUGCAAAAAAAAAGAUGUGAUAAGGGGGGCCAUUGGUAUUAUAAGUGGCAGAAUUCCAACAAAGAAUAUCUACUUGGUGAUUUAUGUAUAUGGAUAAAAGUUUUAUACAUAGGGAUAUCCCCUGUCUAAUACCUCUGGAUAGUGAAAAAAGUGUGUCGGAGUUCCAUUGACAAAGACGGCUAUAUUGCUAGUGGAGAUACAAUUAAUUAUUAAAGUGUGUAUUUUGGGUGAAAACUUAAAUUACAAAAGGGUACAAUAAACAAAAGAUCAUUCAAGAUGAUCAAAGGCCUACUAGGCCCAACUUAAGCAUAAGAGAGUCAGUCCUACUUUUAGUCUUGUUAAGGUAGUAUUUCUUGGACAAGAAUCAUAUUAUCAUAGGUUGUACAGCCUUUUAGGAACCUGGUAUGGUAGGUACCAAUAAGAUUAAUUAAAAGCAUCUUUAGUCGAUUGAAAAUAAUUUUAGUAAUAAUCUUACAAAUAGUAUUUCAUAAGCUAAUUGGACAAAAAUUCUUAAGAUGGUUUGCUCUGGGGAAUUUUGGAAUAAAGCAUAAAUAAGUGUCAUCAAUAGAUUCAGGGAGCCUUUGACUGUCAAACACUUGGUGGCAUAAAUCCCUAAUAGAAUUACCUAUUAUAUCACAUUGAGAAUAGAAGAAAUGAUGGUGAAGUCCAUUCGGUCUCGAAGCUUUGACAGGUUUGAAGAAAAAAAUGGCUUGAAUAAUUUCAAUAUCGCUAAGCGGAUUAUCAAGAGAGGUCAGAUCAUAAUUAUGAAAACUAGUGGAAGGAUAUUUUUAUAUGAUUCCAAUUAGAAGUAGAGUGACUAGUCGUUUAGCAGUCAACAAAGUAAUUUAAGGUAUGGUUAGCAAUUCUAAUAGGGUCAAUUAUCCAAUUAUCUUGAGAAUCCUUGAAGUAAGAAAUUUUAUUCCGUCUUCUUCUAUUAAUAACCAAAAUAUGAAAAAAAAAAUUGAAUUAGAAUCCCCAUAGAUAAGCCACUUAAUACAAGAUCUCAUACGCCAAUGAUCCUCCUCUAUUUUAAGAAUUUAUUAUAUUUAGACUGGAGGUUUUUCUCAAGAGUUUGGAGGAAUGUACUAGCAGGGGAUUUUUAAAUACCCCCAAAUCUAUUCAGGAAAUAAUUACAUAAAGCAACAACUUAACUAUCACUUAUUACAAAAAAUCUCAACUCUUAAAACUUAUUACAAAAAUCUUACUUUUUAAAUUUUUCUCUCUAAAAGUUCAUAUACAUAACUUUACCAAAAUAUUUGUACGGUUUAUUAUCCUUGGAAGAAGCCUACAAUCAAGGAGACAUUAUGUAGAGGUUAUCACUUUUUAAUUCUCAACCGUGUUUGAGUCCAACUCUUACUCAGUGGCAUUCAAUUUUAUCAAAAACUCCAUUUACAAUAUUUUGAAAUUUUAAAAUCUGAGGUUAGCAAUUUUAUUUUAUUUUGAAUUUACCAAAAAUACGAGAUUUCAAGUGAAAAGUUCUUGUAUGUGGUUCGUUCAAUAAUUCUUUCUUAGUAUUGGGGUAAUAUUUUGAUUUUCUACUUUAUCAAAAUUUAGAAUCAUUCGAAUAAGUUCUUGCAUGUACUCCAUUCACUAAUUAGUACUUAGUAAAUGGAUGAUUCUCCGUCUUUUACUUUAGAAUUAACCCAAUUAGAUCAUAGUGACCAACAAAUCGGGUUAUUGGGUUAGUUCUCAAAGAAUUUAUUUACGAGAAUCCUAAUUUUAUUAAAAACAAAUCAAAAUAUUGUAACGAUCCCAUUAAGAUGAAAAAUCUUAGGAAAGUUAUUGAUCGAAGUUAAAAAAAUCAAAUCAAAAAAUCAUCAAGAAAGUCAUAAACGAUGAUAGCGUGCGGCCACGUCUAUCAAAGGUUAUUUUAAUUUUUCGUUUUUGAAUAUGAUUGUUAAUUGUACUAGGAUAUAGUGUAUUUUCAGUAGUGUGAAGUGUUUUGAUUUUUUAUUUUUGAUUAUGGUUGUUAGUGUUGCAGCAUUAUGUAGAUUUGUUCACGAAUAUGAGGGUGCAUUAGUAGUUGUCAGUGUAUAUACAUAGCAUUACUUAUGUAUAUGAUAGAAAUAUAAAUAAGCAAUGUUAUGUAUAUGAACUACAAUGUUAUUUAUAGGUUAUAUACAUCACAGAUGAGUUUAUGGUAUUUUGUAGUUUUAGGUAGGAAUUGAGUGGCUUAGUUAAAGCAAUAUACAUAUCAGGUUGUUAUGUAUAUUUGUCACUGUUAUGUAUAAUGCAUAUACAUCACAAAAAGGUCUAUGGUAUUAAGUUGUUUGGAGUAUGCUUUGAGUGAUUUUUUUUAGGUAAUAUAUAUAUCAGUAUUUUUUUAGUAAUGUGAGAUUUUAUGAUCUUUUAUUUGUGAAUAUGAUUCUUAGUUGUGCAGCUUUAAGUGAGUUUUUUCAUUAAUGUGAGGAUGCCUUAGUAGUUUUCAUUCUAUAUACAUAACAAUACUUAUGUAUAUGAUAAUUAUAUACAUAAGUAAUGUUAUGUUUAUGAAUUACAUUGAUAUGUAUAGUCUAUAUAUAUUAUAGACUGGUCCAUAUACACUGAUUGUUUAUGAUGUAUUUUUUAUGUUUUUAUAGGGUUUGAAAUACAGAAUAAAACAAGUCUCUGUGCAUCCGUUGCAUUUCCAUAGUUUGUGCAACCACGAUUUUGAAUCAGAUAUCAAGAACUAUCUUGGCAAAGAUGUUUAAAAUCCUUUUUGGCAAAUAAUUUUUGGGUCUUUUUUAGACAUGCCUCAUUGUAACUUUCAUGGGCAGAUUUUAAAAUGUCUGCUCAUACUUGUGAUAGAGAAAGAUAACCUAAAUGAAAUCCAUGUUUUUGUGCAAGGGACUAUUCUCAUGUUUUUUAUUCUUGAGUUUGCAUUAAUUUUCGGACUUAACUAUAUCGAAAACAUCAAGGAUCAUCUAUAUCCUGAAUCAUCAAAGUUUAUUUUAAUGGAGAAGUAUUUUCCAAAUGCGAAAAAUUCUAUCAAAAAACUACUUUUUUUAAUUCAUAAAUUUUUGUAUUCAAAAAUACAUGAUGCAACUAUUGGCAAAUCUAACUUUGUGAUGGUUGAGGAUGGACGUUACAAAUAAUUUUUAUGGGGGAAGACUUUGUUUCAAAAACUUUUGGAAACAUGGAGAUAGGAUUUCUUUGUUGAAAAAUAGUUAUACCAGAUGGGAGGAAUGCCCCAUGUAUUGAAUGUAUGGAAGUACAAAUGUUGUUCAGAGGUUGACUGUAUGAUAGCUGAGCGUGUGGAAAAUGUAAUUCCAAGAAUUUUUAAGUAAAAGUUUGUUGGGAUCAAGGUUAAGUAUGAGAAAUUCAUGGGUGGUAUGUUCAGAAAGGCAAGUAUUAGUAACUUAUGUAAAAUUCAUGUUUUUAUUAUAUUUUGUUAAGUUUAGCGGACUCGUAAACAUCUCAAAUUUUAUUUAUUCACAGUUUUUAUACAACAAUCUACGUCCAACUCGUGAAGAAGUACAAAGGCUUUAUUUUCCUAUGAGAGAGGGCAUUGAAUUAAAUAAUCCCGACUCUCUAUACGCACUUGUGCAACACCCCACAUUUUGGGCUAAAAUAAAAACCAUCUUUUCUACGUGUAGAUGUUCCAAAAGCCAUAAAUCCUAUGAAAAUUUUAUAUGUUAAAUCGAUAUGUAGUGUGGGAACCUAUUUGAGCAUGAAUUGAUAUCAUAGAGAACCCCUAACUCAAGGUCAAGUUGAAAGCUUUCCUAUCGUUCGAGUUUUAGUGAGCGCCAAAACUUGAGUCGACUUCAAAAUACCAUAACUCCUUAUAUAUGAUGAACUGUGUAUCCUACUAUAUAUCAAAUGAAAUCUCUUCAAAUUAUAUUUCCAACGAUAUUAAUUUCGGCUAAAUACAAUAUUGGAGCAAAUUAUUAUGCCCAUUUUACUCCAGCAUGUCAACCUGGAAAACUGAAUGACGAUAUUUUGGAUGCCUAAUCACAUUCCUGACACCAUUUCUGAUAACUUAUCACGUUUUUGACAAUAUAUCAGCAAAUGUCGUCAGCCUUUGGCAGAAACUCAUAAAUUUCUGCCCCAAGUGACGACAUUUGUGAUGACUUAUCACAAAUUUGAUGGCUUAUCACAAAUGUCGUCAGCCUUAGGUAGAAACCCAUAAAAUCUAACUCCCAAGUGACGACAUUUCUGAUGACUUAUCACAAGUCUGACGGCUUAUCGGCCUUAGUCAUCAGCCGAGAUUUUCAGCAAUUGAGAAGCGGUUUGUAAGGGUAUUUUGGUCUUUUUCCUUCACUUCCCAUGACUUAUAACCGUCAGGAACAUAUUUUUCUUCUAUUCUCUUUAGUUAAACAUCUCAAAAUUCUCUACACACCUUUAACCACAAGGUUAAGGUUUCUUUCAAGAUCAAGCCCCAAGACCAAGAAUUCAAGAACUUCUCCAAGAACACUCAAGAAUCAAAAACCACCGUCCUAAAACUUUCAAGAAAAACUCUCAAGGCUUCAAAAGUCAUCUUGUUCUACCAAAUCAAGCUAAAUAAGGUAUUUCGGUUUUGAAUAAGAACACCCUUUCGUUUUUGUGCCCAAAAGUUUUAGUUUUUCUUAAUGAAUUUCGUAUUUUCAAGAUGAAUUCAUAUUAUUUUGCUAUAUUUCAAGUUUAUGAGAUUAUGGAAUUGUUCAAGUCUUUAAUUGCAUGAUUAUCUUAUUUAAUUAUGAUAUAAAUUGAGAAUUCAUGACAUGAAUUGCACAUUCCUAUAUUGAUAUCAUAUUUUUAAGAAUUUCCAAGAUUUAUUGUCGUGAAUUGAGCCUUAUUGUGAAAUUGUGAGUCUUUGAGAAUGACUUAUUGAUACUUUUAAAAUGUUUCAAGAAGAGUACAUAAAUUUAUAUGUUAUUGAGACUUUAAAUCUUAUUCAUGAUAAGUCUAUCAAGAUUUCACGAAAGAAGUGAGUUUUGAUCUUAAGUUAAGAAAGAAAUCCACAUCCUUGAUUUUGAGAUAAAGGGGAUGCGUUUUGGCUCCCAUUGCAUCUUAUUGAAAUAUUUUAAGGUGGAUUUUCUAAAGUUCUAAGCUAAGUAAGGGAGCAAUAUUUAGCACCGAGUUGGGCUUGAUUCUGAGGUCUCAUUCCUCAGAACUAUAUGCCCCUGUAGGUUUCUGAUAUACCCCAAGUGGGUUAAGAUAGUGAUCACUAAAGUUAAGGUUCUAUCAGAUGGCAAGGAUAGAACAGCUCUCCCCAACGUGGGUGAGAAGUUGGACUCCAUGUAGCUCACAUGGUUUAUGUCGGUUAGAAGAAACUCCAAAAGAUGUCCCCCACUCUUGAAAUACUUUUAUUAAUUUAAAGUAUUGAGAUAAAGAGUUAACUAUACAGAAUGAGUUCCAGAUUUCAUCUAGCUUACUAGUUUUGACAAUAAGUGGAGAAUACAGAUUUUAGAAGCUAUUUAAAUAACUCACGAGAUUUAUACAUGUUUCAUUAUUCAUGAUUUAUGAGAUUUAUAUUUUAGAUAUUAUUCAAGCUAUGUGCGUCAUUUAUGUCAGCAUGCAUAAUUUUAUAAACUAUAAUGAUAUUAAGAUAUUGUUUACUUAUUGCAUUGCAUCCCCAUAUACUCAGUACAUUCCCAAAGUGUUGAUCCACAUAUACGUCUAUGUGCUACAUUGUCUCAUAAUGUAGGUACAAGACUUAGUAUGCACAUUCAGAUUCAGUUAGCUCGCAGCUUCCAGUCAGCAGGUUAUGAAUCCUUUUUUCAAGGGUUUGAUCCAGAUAAACAAUUUAAACAGUUCUUUAUUUUUCUAUUCCAGUCGUAUUAAGUUGGGAUAGUUGGGAGUCAUGACCCGGCUAUCUAAAGUCAGUACUAGUAGAUGCUUCAUAGACAGUCAGUAGAGUUAACGUAUUUAGUUUUAGUUUUAUUUUGGUAAAAGCAGAGUUGCAAUCUUGUAAAGUUCAGAUUUGUAUUGAUCAAGUUCAGAAAAUUUUUAUGUUCUCACUGAUUUUAUACAAAUUUAAGCAUUUUAUUCAGUUGCUUAUGAGUUAUGCCAGUAGAAGGGUUAGCUUGGGGCCACUUGUGACCCUAAGCACCAUGUGACAUCUCGGGACCCAAUUUUGGGUCGUUACAAACUUGGUAUCAGAGCACAGAGUUCAAGUGUCCUAGGGUAUCUGUGAAGCCAUGUCUAGUAGAGUCUUGCGGAAUGGUACGUAGAUGUCUAUACUUUUCUUCGAGAGGCUACAAGGUACUUACAAAAUAUCUCCAUUCUUUCAAGUCUCAGAUAGUGCUAUAGAAAUGUUCUUUAAGAAACUUAUACAAAUUCUCAUCUUACUCUAUCUAAGCUAUCUCUGCCUUAUUUUCAAUGUAUCAAAAAUAGUCAUGCUUAAAUCUUUACAGAUAGUGCUUUCUCAGACAGUCUCCACAGAUAGCUAUCGGAUUGUAAGAGAGCUAGAAAUUAUCCCAUUAGUGCUUUUGAGUUCUGAUGAUUUAAGUGCUUUAUUCAUGAUUCAUAAAAGUCAUGCACUAAGCCCAAGUCAGAUGUACUUCCAGAUUCCUCCUCAGAAUCUAUAAUGCAAAGCUAUACUUCCCUAUCAAUUUAUUAUUCUUGAGAUAGCAUGAUAAGAAAGUUCCAGUUCCUCCUCAAAUAACGAUCUCAAAUUGUCUAGCAAGAAGCUUUAGAAGUCAUACAAAGCGGCUUAAGAGUAGCAUUCUAGUGUGUAAUAAGUCUAUCAAGAUUAGAGUUAUGUCCUCACUCUUAUAAGUCAUGCAAGUAAGACAGAAUAAGAUGUGUAUUCUUAUAUUAUUGAAUAUUUUGUGUCAAGUUUCUAUCUCUUGUAACCUUGUUAUCAUUAUUUUGUUUAAAAAUCAAAGUCUAGUGAAGUCGUGUGAGGCCUAUUUCGAUUCACUAGCAACUUGUUGUGCAUUUUAUUAUUUUUGUGCUGGUUGAAACUUAUAGAUCUACGAAAGAAGUUUAGGUGUAUAGAUAGGUGGAUAGUAAUGAUGUGUAGAAGGAGGAUGUGGUAAUGGAUUGUAAAUAAGAUAGGCCAUAUGUUUAUGAUCGAUUAUCAUUAUUAUGAGGUUCAAGUGGGCUAGUUAUUCUUGAUUUGUUUUAUUCUAUAGCUUCCAAGUGAGAAAAGCACUAUGUAUUAAGUUUGAAUGAUUGGUGGUCAUGAAGGUGGAUGUGAUAAUUUCUUGGCUAAUAAUACUAGUUAUAGGGAAGUGAUAUAAUAGGUUUGGACAGUGUAUGCAGGAGCAUAAGUUUACUUGAUUCAUUAUCAAGUUUGACAUUGUAUUUAUGAUGCAAAAGUAUGCCCAACGUGCUAUGGGGCUGCAUUAUUUUUUUUUUAGAAUUAUUUCAUGUUGUGGGGUCAGUAGUACCGUUGAGAUGUUAGGUGUAGAAUACUAGUUAGAUAAUGUAUAAUGUUCUUGUAGCCAAGUUAAGGAGUUUGAUUGAAGAUGUUGAGCCUCUUUAAGUAUGAAUGUGAUUCUCAUGGUUUAGAAACAUAAGUUUACAAGCAUGAUAUUGGUAGACUAUGAAAAAAGUUGUAUGGUCCAUUAAAGGUUUCGAGAUACCCAUGUUAAGUGUUAGAAUCUAAGUUUGAAAUUUCGAAGAUUUAGCUAAUAGGAAUAAGAGUUGAAGCACUAGAUUAUGUGCACUCCAACUAUGGGGAUGCUCAUGCAAAUUCAAAGUUAGUAAGUGUUCAAGUGUUAUAUGAUGACUAUUGGGUCUAUAGAAAGAUAGGGUGUAGCUUAUAAGUGAGUAUUAGAAGUUGGUUUUAUACUUUCAGGUGUAGUCAUUCGGGUUAAAUUCUUUUGUUCAUGUGUGUUGCUAUAUCCCAGACUCUAGAGUAAAAUGAUUAUAGUUAGACUAGAGUUUAUAUAGUGGUUCAUAGCCUUAGAGUGAUGGCUUACAUCUAAAGGGGAGAUGAUAGUCAAGCCUUCAGAUUCUAGUAGAUGUACCAAUAAUUUAUAGAAUAAUUAUGAGAAAGAUUAAUGCUUGACCCAAUCUUAUUUCAGUAUUUUCAAUUGUCAAAUAACCAACUUAUGCCUUAUGUUCAGUUCCAUGAUCUUAAUUCAUGUUCAUGCAUAUUAUGGAGAAUUAUGUACUCUCCUAGUUCCCAAAAAUGAGGAGUUCCAGUUCUUUCAGCAGUUGGAAUCACAUUUCAUAAGUUAUGAACUCCAAAUUCAGGUUAUGCAACUCAUGACUCAUGUACUCAAGCUUUACAGUAUGUUCAGUCCAAGUACUUAAGCAAUACUUUUAAUGAUCAAUGGAAUUCGGAUUUAUAUCUUGCAUGUCCUCAGAUCAUACUUCUUUAAUAAGUCCAUGAUGCUAUCUAUUCUAUUCCUCAAGCCUUAAUUGAGUGUCAAGUUAUUUAUAGUAUCCCCUCAUAUUUUGGGCCCUCAUGUUCUAACCUUCUAUUACCUUUCCUUCGAUCAAGAUAGUGAUGAUAAUCAGUUGUCUGGAUGGGAGAGAGUAAACAUUUCUUGUUACUGGAAGAUCAUUGUAUGCUUAUUUUAGCUAAGGCAGUAAAGUGUAAAGUAAUAUUGAAGCCAAGUUUUUAAUACCCAUCAUGGUUAGUCAAAGUUUUAUAUGAGAUGUUUGGGUAGUUGAAAUCUUAUGUAUGUCUUCUUAGGAGUAGUGCAUGGAAGUUGAUCUUGAUAGAGGUUUGUAAGUUGUGACAAAGCUAUUUUAGGGGAGUGUGUUUAGAAAUGCAUAUAUGGUUAUAGAAGUGAGGCUUGAACAUCAUGUUUGUAUAUUUAGAUGAAUGCACUGCACAUUAAUAAAAUGUCUAGUACGAGGUUGAAUGUGGUUGUUGGAGUAGUUGUAAUACCCCGCAUAUUUCUAAGCUAGCAAGUGAAUAAGUUUUCCUAUGUAUGAAACCUCCUAUCCUGUGAGUAGCAUUUAAGUGCAUGACUUACAAUGAAUAUCCUAGCGAUAGGAUAGCUUGCGAUGUCUUAAGCAUGCUCAUACGAGUCGCUUAGAGUGAUGCAAGCUAAGAGUUUUUGAAUCCAUCAAGUCUUAGUGUUUGAUUUUGUAAGGGUCAUCUUUGAAAAAGAAUAACGUGAUUUAUAUGUGACAUUUUGGAAGAUUUAGACCUACCAAAUUGUAGAGAAUCGAAUUAGCUUUCCAACAAUACUAAUUUCAUCAAAAUCUGACACCCGAGCAAGGAGUUAUGGUCUUUCAAAGUAGAAUGUGUCGCCUAACCAAUCGCACAUGGCCACUGGAAAGUAUAGGCGAUAUCAUAUGCGGAGCCUAUGUAAAUAUAGGAGAUACCAUAUGCGGCGCCUAUGUAAAUAUAGGUGAUAUCAUAUGCGACGCCUAUGUAAAUAUAGGCAAUAUCAUAGGCGGCACCUAUGUAUGAUUUCAGCCACGAAAACACUUAAUUUUUGAGUUAUUUUGAGGGUAGUUAAGUCUUUUAACACUCCUUACAUGUCCCUAAAAUUAACCUCACGAAAUUUAUAGCUUCUAAACACAUUACAAACCUAUUAACAUCUCAAUGUUCCUUAUCCAAGCGCACCAUAGGAGAAAAACAACUAGGGUUGCACAAUCAAGCUUGAAAAUCAAAUUUCAAGGAAAUUCCUCCGUCAAUCAUCAAGAACCUCCCUUCCAAGGUAUGCGUAGUGUUCAUCCACAGAUUUUUUUCGUACGUGGAGUUCAAGAAUCAAUCUUUAAAAUACAAAAGCUUGGUUGGUUGUGGUGAUAUGAUCAUACCCAUGUUGAUGCUUGUUUGUUUUGCUAUAUAAUAGUAUCGUGACUGUAUAUCUCAUGAAAGUUAUGUUGCUAGUUAGAAAACAUGAUCUUUAGGUGGAUUGAUAGAAUGCAAGUAUGAAAUCCACCUAUGCUUUAAAGAAUGCAUGCAAGGUGUUCGAUAAAAUGCCUAGUAUGUUAGAACUUCAUAUUUACAUGAUUUCAUGAUAUCUAAAUAACAAGUUCAUGUUAGUCAUACACUCCAAUAUGAAUUUCCAUGCAAAUUAUGUAUUGUUAUUGUUGUGGUAUAAAGCAUGUAUGAUAAUGGAGAUAUAAAUUAUGUACACAAAAUAUAUCUAUGCUUUUCCUAUCAUGUUUGAAAUGCUGAAUAAAUACAUGAAGUAUACUAUCCCCUGCUUAUGAUAUUGUGAAUUAUGGAUUCAAAUCUUGUGAUCAAGUCAUGUCAUGUGUAUCAGUUUCCUUCCAUCGAGUCCUGUGGUACUUGUACCUAAAAAAAUAAAGUUGUGUGCCUAGAGCCAUGUCAUGUUUUCACGAUACUCUCAGUCAAGUCAUGUUCAGUAGACUUCAGUCAGUCUCAUGACUCAGGAAAACUCAUGUAAAGGCAGUAUCAGUUCAGUUUUACUCAGUACUCAGUAAUCUACGUAAUCUCAGUAAUAUUUCGUCAGUAUAUGGAAUUCAGUAAAUCUCAGUAUCAGUACAAUUUAGUUCAAUAUUCAGUUCAGACAUCAGUAAAAUCAGUCAGCUAAUAGAACUCAGUAGCAUUUAGUCAGUUAACAGAAUUCAAUAGUGUUCCGCUAGUCAUCGAAACUCAAUAAACUCAGUCCAUGUUCAGUUCAGUUAAAUAGAACAAUCAGUAAUUGUUCAAUUAAUUCUAGUAUGAACUAGGAAAUCAUUCAGUAUAAUCAGUUCAGUGUCAUUUAGUUGGGAGUAGGAUUCUGCACCGAGCGAACCCAAGGAUGGGAACUCACCUACCUGUAGAGGGUGUGAUUCUUAGAAGUAGUCAUUGCGUUCCAGAACUAUAUAGACAGCAUAGGUUGAGACAUCAAUACCUAUCAGUUGAGGGUAGAUGAGGUGGAUUAACCUGUCAGAUGAGGGUUCCCACCGUUCUUAUUAGAGUACCUGCCAGAUGAGGGUCACUCACAGCUUGUCCUUACUAGUGGCGUGGUAUUGACACCCUUCCAAUCAGGGCAGAGAUUGAACCCCAGCUUAGCUAUUAUAGCGUAUUUAGGGCAUGUCGGUUAGAUAACUACUUCCCAUAAUUUCAGUAUCAGUCUCAGUAAAAUAACUCAGGUAGUUUUUCAGGACUAUCAGAUACAGUACAGAACUCAGCUAGUUCCAUCAGAUUUAGGACUGUCAGAUACAGUCAUUCAUGCUAUCAGUUAUCAAAACUCAUGUUAUCAGAUAUAUCAAUUAUCAAAAUUCAGUUAUCAAUCAUGAUAUAUUAUCAGUAAAUACAUGUCAUUAGUAUUCAUACUCAAUAUUCAUGUUAUCACGAGCUCAGUUUCAGGACUGUUAUACAUGGCUAAUCAAAUCAGUUCUUCAUAAUCAGAACUAUCAGAAACAAUCAUUCCUUUAUCAGUAAUAUAGUAUCAGUCUCCCAGUAUUCAGUAAUAUAGUAUCAGUUCCUCACUUAUUAGUGAAUUACAUAUCAAUAUCAGUAAACUCAAUCAUUCAACAUCUCAAUAUCAGUAAACUCAGUCAUUCAGUAGCUCAACAUCAGUAAAUUUUUAUUGUCAGUGUUCAGACUCAGUAUCACCAUGAGUUUAGUUGCAGUUAUGUAUGUAUGUAUUCUCACGUUCACAUCAGUCGGCAUUGUUCAUACAUAUAAAACCCUUUGAAUUUAGCCUACCUCAGUCGUAUACUCAUUACAUUCAGUCGUACUGACGUAUUCACGCUAUGGUGUUUAAUUUGAUGCCAUAGGUAUAGAGGCACGAGUUUUAGAGCAGCACUAGUAUUGCAAAUUUCACCAGUCAGUGCUCCUCUUCAUUCGAGGACAAUAUUAUUAUUACUUUAUUACAGCAUUUCAAAUUAGUUUUUCAGUUCAUGGAGUUAGUUGGAGACCUUCAAAUCCUUAGUCAGUUCAGUUAGAGGCUUUCAGACUAGAUCUCAGAUUAGAUGUUCAGACUUUUGUAUUUAUGUUUCUUUUUGGUAUUGUUAUACCAUGUUUUUCAAAUAUGCAUCAGUAUUCAUGUUUUUGCAUAUUUUAUGAGAUAUUAUGCAGUUUACAAGUACAUAUAUCAGUCAUGGGUUAGCUUGUGGUCCUUCGGGGUCAUGAGCACCGUGUAGCAUUUUGGUUCAGAAAAUUAAGGUGUUACAGUAGUAAUGAGGAUUUUCAUGAGAUGAGAAGUUGUGAAGUGUAGGGUAUGUUGAAUUACGAUUCAGACUAGUAGUAUAGUGUUAUGUGGUAUACCCUACGAUUGUGGGUUAGGCUUGAAGAUGGUGAGGGAAUUUAGUUCAGUUUAGACAUGAGUAGUUGAAAAUAUCAACAACCUUGUUAGAAUUCGAAGAUGAAUCAAUAAGUAUGGUUUUUAAGGUAAAAGAUUAGUUGACAGAAUAUUUUAGAAGUGUGUCUAAGUUUUAAGUAAGGUAUUGCAUUGCCUAAAGCCUAGUAAAUUCUACCCCAGUCUACGAUUCAAAGGUCUAUGAUUCCAAGCUAUGGAAUUGUAGCAAUAUUGUAAUCCCUUAUUCAGAUGUCUUGUUCAGAUCUUGACCAAAAAUUCUUGGCUCCUUCAAAUUGUUAGAACUCCCUAGAGGGGUGUUGAAGAAACCCUCCACUUGAGCAUGAGUAUCUAGUAUGAUUCAGUUUGGAUAAACAGCAGUUCAGUUUAACAAUCAGGCACAUAGAUUUCUAUGGAUUUCUAUUUUUUGAACUAGCCUAGUUUUACUACCUGAAGUUUCAUAAGUACGAUAAUUCCAAAAUAGUUUUGCAAUUGCGAAUUCAGCUCAGUAUAUGUAUCAGGCAUCAAUUUCAGAAUUAGGAUAUCUAGUCAUGAUUCAAUUCAUAAAUAUUCAUCGAACGAUCUUCAUUUUCCAAGUAUUCCAUCUCAGACACUGUGAUACCCAUUGUGUGAUCUUAGCCUUGUUUUCUCAUGAUUUGUGCCUGCAUAAAUUAUCACCUCACAGUCUAUAAGUACGAUCGCACCAUGAGCACAUCAAGCAAAUUCUAAACCCUCAGCAUGAGUGAGCUCUUCAAAAAUAAGCAAAAAAGGCAAGUUAGCUCAGAUUCAGACGAAGGUAACAACCUUCCGUCAUUCAUCUCCUCUAUAAUUAAAGAUUCAGUUAGAUAGCUAUUCUUAUCAUGAGUAUAUGCAUUCAUCGAAGUAUGCCAAAGUUUAAAAAGAUAUAGAUUCAGUUUAAUAAGUUAUUUCAACUAUGUAUCCUCAGUUUUCUCUAUAUUCUUAACCUAAAGAGCAAUAUUUGGGGACGAAUGAUCCCAAGGGGAGAUAAUGUAGCACCCCGUAUUUCAGGCUACAAUGAAAACCAUAUUUUCUACGUGUAGAUGUUCCAAAAGACAUAAAUCCUAUGUAAAUUUGGUAUGUUAAUCAAUUAUGUACUGUAGGAACCUAUUUGAGCAUGAAUUGAGAUCAUAGAGAUCCUCUAACUCAAGGUCAAGUUGAAAGCUUUCCUAUCGUUCGAGUUUUAGUGAGCGUCGAAACUUGAGUCGACUUCAAUCAACCAUAACUCCUUGUAUGUGACGAACUAGGUGGCCUACAAUAUAUCAAAUGAAAGCUCUUCGAAUUUUAUUUCCAACCAUAUCAAUUUCGACUAAAUCCGAUAACAAAGCAAAAUUUUAUGCCUAUUUUACUCCAGCAUGUCAGCCUGGAAAACUGAGUGACAACAUUUCUGACGCCUUAUCACAUUCCUGACAAUAUUUCUGAUAACUUAUCAUGUUUCUGACGAUAUAUUAGCAAAUGUCAUCAGCCGUAGGUAGAAACCCAUAAAUUUCAGCCCCAAGUGACGACAUUUGUGACGACUUAUCACAAGUCUGAUGGUUUAUCACAAAUAUCGUCAGCCUUAGGCAGAAACCCAUAAAAUCCAACUCCCAAGUGAUGACAUUUCUGAUGACUUAUCACUAGUCUGAUGGCUUAUCAGCCUUGGUCAUCAGCCGAGAUUUUCAGCAAUUGGGCAACGGUUUAGUAAGGGUAUUUUGGUCUUUUUUCUUCACUUCCCACGACUUAUAACCCUCAAGAAAUGUAUUUUUCUUCUAUUCUCUUUAGUUAAACAUCUCAAAAUUCUCUACAUACCUUCAACCACAAGGUUAAGGUUUCUUUCAAGAUCAAGCCCCAAGACCAAGAAUUCAAGAACUUCUCCAAGAACACUCAAGAAUCAAGCACCACUAUCCUAGAACUUUCAAGAAAAACUCUCAAGGCUUCAAAAGUCAUCUUGUUCUACCAAAUCAAGCUAAAUAAGGUAUGUGGGUUUUGAACAAGAACACCCUUUCAUUCUUGUGCCCAAAAGUUUUAGUUUUUCUUAAAGAAUUUCGUAUUUUGAAGAUGAAUUCAUAUUAUUUUGCUAUAUUUCAAGUUUAUGAGAUUAUGAAAUUGUUCAAGUCUUGAAUUGCAUAAUUAUCUUAUUUAAUUAUGAUAUAAAUUGAGAGUUCAUGAUAUAAAUUGCACAUUUCUAUAUUGAUAUCAUAUUUUUAAGAAUUUCCAAGAUUUGUUGUCGUGAAUUGAGCCUUAUUGUGAAAUUGUGAGUCUUUAAGAAUGACUUAUUGAUACUUUUUAAAGUGUUUCAGGAAGAGUGCAUAUAUUUCUAUGUUAUUGAAGCUUUAAAGCUUAUUCAUGAUAAGUCUAUCAAGAUUUCACGAAAGAAGUAAGUUUUGAUCUUAAGUUAAGAAAGAAAUCUACAUCCUUGAUUUUGAGAUAAAGGGGAUGCGUUUUAGCUCCCAUUGCAUAUUAUUGAAAUGUUUUAAGGUGAAUUUUCUAAAGUUCUGAGCUAAGUAAGGGAGUAGUAUUUAGCAUCGAGUUGAUCUUGAUUUUGAGGUCUCAUGCCCCAGAACUACGUGCCCCCGUAGGUUUUUGAUAUACCCUAAGUGGGUUAAGAUAGUGAUCACUAAAGUUAAGGUUCUAUCCAAUGGCAAGGAUAGAACAGCUCAUCCCAACGUGGGUAAGACGUUGAAUUCUAUGUAGCUCACAUGGUUUAUGUCGGUUAGAAGAAACUCCCAAAGAUGUCCCCCACUCUUGAAAUAGUUUUAUUGAUUUAGAGUAUUGAGUUAAAGAGUUGACUAUACAAAAUGAGUUUCAAAUUUCAUCUAGCUUACAAAUUUUGAGAAUAAGUAGAGAAUACAGAUUUUAGAAGCAAGUUAAAUGACUCACGAGGUUUAUACAUGUUUCAUUAUUUAUGAUUUAUGAUAUUUAUAUUUCAGAUAUUAUUCAAGCUAUAUGCGUCAUUUAUGUUAGCAUGCAUAAUUUUAUAAACUAUGAUGAUAUUGAGAUAUUAUUUACUUAUUGCAUUGCACCCCCAUAUACUCUGCACAUUCCCAAAGUGUUGAUCCACAUAUACGUCUAUGUGCAACAUUGUCUCAUAAUGGAGGUACAAGACUUAGUAUGCAUAUUCAGAUUCAGUCAGCUCGCAGCUUCCAGUCAGCAGGUGAUGAAUCCUUUUUAUUCAAGGGUUUGAGCCAGAUAGAAAGUUUGAGCAGUUCUUUAUUUUCCUAUUUCAGUUGUAUUGAGUUGGGAUAGUAGGGAGUCAUGACCUGGAUAUCUAAUAUCAGUACUAGUAGAGGCUUCAUAAACAGUCAGUAGAGUUAAUGUAUUCAGUUUCAGUUUUAUUUUGGUAAAAGCAGAGUUGUAAUUUUGUAAAGUUCAGAUUUGUAUUGAUAAAUUUCAAAAAAGCUUUAUGUUUCUCGCUGAUUUUAUACAGAUGUAAGCAUUUUAUUCAGUUGCUUAUGAGUUAUGCCUGUAGAAGGGUUAGCUUGGGGUCACUUGUGACCCUAAGCAUCGUAUGCCAUCUUGGGACUCGAUUUUGGGGCGUUACAACCUGAUACUUUGGCAGAUCGUCAUGGUAAAAGGGUUGAUGAUGACAUACAUACACAUUCAUACUCCGCGCCCCAAGGUUUUAUGGAUUCUAGUAAAUUAACACCACCUAAAAUUCUUUAAAAUGUAGGUUUCGAUACUGAUACAUCAGUUACACAACCUAUGAAGAAGAGGAUGACAGCUCGUUUUGAUGCAAAAACUGUUGAGGUGCAAGAAAGACAGAAAACACCAACUAGUGUUUCAAGAAGAGAUAUGUCAACAGAGAAAUCAACAGUCGAAGGUGAUUCAAGAAUCAAAAAUCCUAUAAUUUCUAAAGGCUC